UCCACCGGGAUCUGCCUGUGUCAAAUCCAUGUUCCACUGCAAGUUAUAGAUGUCCAAAAUGCUCAUUGAUAGACAAAUUUGAAGCUUGUUUAUUCUAUGGUCAAGUUCAACAUGCAGAUUUUGACGAUGUCUCAAGUGAAUUCAUUGAUUGCGUCUCUAACUUUACACAGAAUGUUUGGAAUAUUUUGGCUCUCAGUUGCCAGUACCUUAGAUUGAUUAAGAGUCCUAUUGAUUUCAGUUGGCUUGGUACCACAAAAGAUUCCAGUGUAGGGGAAGUUCUGAUUCGGUCUAGUGGCACUAAAGCGGGUUCUUGUGGGACUGAGAGAAGCAUUUCUGGAAGUGAAGCAGAGGGAUACACAGCCCAGGUACGGAUAUGUAUUUUUAAGCUCGGUGUCCAUUGCUUACUAUAUGGAGGAUAUCUAGCGAGCAUAUGUUAUGGUAAUUCCCAUUUGACCUGUUAUGUUCGUAAUAUUUUAGAUAUGGAAGGGAUAUUAUUGAAUCCUUGUCAUGAACCAAAUUGAGUUUGAGAUCUUAGAAGUUAAAUUAUUCCUGUUUUGGUGUUAAUUGCUGUGUUAUUAUACUCGUUAAGAAUCUGUUAAAAAUGUUGGUUGCAUAUAUCGUCUUCUCUGCUUGUGAUUUUUCGCCUCGAACUCUAUUCGUCUUGCAUGAUGCCCCAAGGAAUCAGCCACACGUAUCAGAAGUUUGUGUCAACGGAUUCAAUUUGAUAGACUACAGUGGGUUUCAAAAUAGAAUAAUCCGCUAUAGCUGUUUCAUAUAUCAUUUCGGUUCAGUCAAAUUAAAGAACCAAAAUUGAAAUCACAAUUGGAUUCGAUUUGGAAACAUCUGAAAUACAAAAUUGAAACCACAAUCGAAUUAAAGAACAAAAAUUGUCAUCUCCUGAUGCAUCCCUGUUUCUAUUUGUGUUCGUGUUUGUGUCAAAAAUACAUCGUAAGAAUGUUAUAACAGUUGCAUACUUAAAGCGACGCCCUACUGAAUGUUACAAUAGAUGCAUACAAGACCGUCGCUAAUGUCAAUGUUUCUUCUUUUUGUUGGACUUUGAGUUGGAGCCAUGCUCAUUUUUAUGUCGCUUUUCCCCACUCUUGUGACUCUCUCUCUGUUUUCCUUUAUCCAUUUUGUUUCUACUUGAUUUCACGCUAACGAGACCACCAGCAGGUAGGUUUGCACCGCCAUUCUGUAAUGCAUUCUCAAAGUCUGCAUCUCUGUCCCCAAUCGCGUACUGUUGAAGCAACUUGGGAUCUAAUGACCCCUCCGAGUUGGAUCUCAUCCCAUCCUGUAUGUGCGUAGUCAAGUCAGCCCAACUCUUGGGAUUCAGAACGCGGGAAAGAGAGGCAGUUCAGGUAACACGAAGGUAAGGAAGGAAUAAAGCGUACCUCAACUUUUCUUGCAGCAUCAUUGAGAUCAUCAUCAACAGAGAUCUUGUGAGGUUCCAAGAGAGUCUGAACCAAAAUUUCCGAAUCAGAGUGGAGUUACAACAUAGGCAGAAGAAAAGCACAGUAGCAUACAUACACGCACGCACGCACAAUUAUAAUGUGAUAGACGAUGUUUAAGCUUGCAUUAAGAAACACAAUAAUGUAAACUUAGCGAUUACAUAUCAAACAAAAUAGUUCAGGUACCAAAGUGGCUCACGCGCAACACACAUGUCAAUAUCAUAUAGUUAAGCCAACUAGAAUCAUAAUGCAUCCUACGACAUGAAAUUAUUAGAAAGAGAUGGAAACCACCAACAUAUCAUGUACUUUCCAUAAGAAAAAAAAGGGUUACUGCUUUGCUGAACUUACUUCUUUUGGUUUAGGCAAGGUUGACACAAGGCCCUCAGAUGCAAUAGCGUAUAGAUAUUUGUGAAACUUUUUCAUAACUUUUAUAAACAGAGACAAUAUUUGCUGCCUUUCCAGUUUCAUCAACCCCUGGAAAACGUGAAUGUAAGUAAAAAUCUACACCUGAUAAGAAUGAAAUAAAGAGCAGAAAUGACGCCACCAAGUAGAGUGUUUUGUCUUUGCAAGUGGGUUUGAUUGCGUGCUCGCAUUGCAUCUAUGUGACUGGUAUAGCCAAGCAAACCAUAUGAGUAACAAGUAGAGAAACAAACCUCAAUAUAGGAGAUAUCUUGAUUCUGUAAGCCAAUGCAGAGCAAUAUGGAAGCCUGGGCACCUGUCAAUGUCACUGGAAGUUUCUCUUGGAAAUACAGAUGUGAAAGCGUUGGAACAAGAUCCAAAAUCUGUAAAAUAAAAGCAUAACUUUAACAUGUGUAAAGUUAUAAACAAACGAUAACUAGAGUACAAGAGGACCUCAGUUUAGAAAAUGACACUUAAUUUCAAAUUCAAAUGGACCCCAGGGUUUAAACUGUAAUUUUAAAAACAAUUCGCAGGUAAUUUGAAGAAAGUAAGGUCUGUUGGUUAAGGAUGAAAAUGCAAUAAGCCCUCGGAUCCCUCCUCCCCACUAUCAUCUAUGCCUAACAGGAGGAAGAACAUCUUGACACAUUCAAACUGGCAGCCUUUCCCAAAAAACAGAAGGAAGCAGAUAAUCCACUCAAACCAUAAUCAACAAAAAUGGACGACAUGCCAUUGACCAGGAUGCACUGCACCUUCCUGAGAACCGCACAACAAAUGGGUUCACCUCCCUCAGGGGCAUACCCACAAGGGGGUGGGAUUGGGUGGGAGGGGAAGAGAAGGGGUCUAAUAGCCUAAUCGCUGUUGAUUUCAUCUUUUUAUGUAACACAGAGCACGGGAUGAAACAUCGGCCACAGAAUCCUACACACAAAUUACUUGUAAAGUACACAAAUUCCCCUUCUCAAACAAGCAAUUUUGAACUUUUAAUGUGUAACUGAACAUAUAUAUACAUAUAAUUAGAUCAAUAACUAAACACAAUGUCCUAAUAGUUCACUUUUGAAAAAGAUUAUUCAUAAAACAUUGCAAGAGUAAUAUAUGUUCACAAUCAUGGUAUCAGAUUGUCCACAGUAAGAAAACAAAUAUUUCACCACUGUCAACUAAAAAUUGUAUCACAAUCACAAUCAUAUUGCCACACUGAGACGAUAAUUCUAUCACAAAGGAAUACAAUUUUUCUUUUGUAAUGCAAUAUUACUUUCUUUUUCUAAAGGAAAGCAUAUUUUGUCUUGUAACGCAAAUAUCUUUUUUGAUUCUAAGGGAAGUAUUUCUUGUUCUGUAAUGCAAACAUUACUUCUAUUUUUAAUAUGAAUGUAUGGAAUCAAUUAGUAAUCCUAAGAUAAAAAAAUCCCAAAACACUACAUAGCACUAUGACAGGGCAAGUUGGCAAUCAACCAUUGUUCAGAGAACUUACCAUAUGAAAGUCAGCAAGACUGCUGGUGUAGGCCUCCAGUCGCUUCAUAUCAUAAGGCGAAAGUAAGUCUGUGAUAGACCGUAAGAAUCCAUCUGUGGUAGACGAUUUGGGUUCUCCAUCCUUGUAAUUGAUCUUAGGAUCUAAGAUGCUGGAAAAUUAUUAGUUAGUACGAGCACUUGAACAAUAAGCAUUUAUCAGAAUGGAACUUUUAAUAGUACCUCAUAGCGAGCCUAUAAUCCAUUGUACGAAAACUAUAACCCAAUAGUCUCAAAAAUCUUCUCCUGAAAUCUAGGUAGCCAACAAAUAAUCAAGCUGUGAACUGAAAUACAAAAAAUCUGCACAAAUUUAAAUAGAACAAAGGUUUUCCAAAGAAAAAUGGGCCCACCUAGGUUGAAUGGACGAAAAUCACUGGUUUCAAGUUCAUCAUUCUUCAAAGAUUUGAGGACCAUACACGUAUGCUCCCCGGUCACACCACUCUAUUACAUUGAAAAGAAAAAUGAAAAAUUAUUGUUUAAUCAGUCAUUCAUUCACAAAUGAUAAUAUUCAAAAAAACAGUAAACGGAAAAAAGGAUUCAGUAUGGAGAGGGGAAUCCAUCUUAACUGGAAUAUGUCCAAUAUAGAAUGGAGCAAACUUAUGUUUCCACCAAAACCUGAAAAGGUCCAAGGUAAGCCCAAAGGAGACACCAAUAUAAUGGAGCUUCUCUGGUCGCCUUUCACGAAGAUGAACAAGCAAAUGAGGAAGAUCUGUUCUAGGUUUUAUACUUUCUUCCAGCAAUGAAACCUAUAAAUAAAAUAGACAUAGGUAUCAUUCCGAUAAACAAUAUCAAGGCACAGGCGGCAGGUUGAUUAAUACCAAACAAACAAACCAAUACAUGAUAAUAUACUUUGAUGUCAUUAUGAUUAAAAUUAACACAACAAAUGAUCAUUCACAAAAGUUUGUCAAAUUAUAUUCAAACACAGAAAUUGUUCUACAAUCACCGGAAUGAAGCUUAACCAACUCAAACACUUCGACAGAACAAGAAUUGCAUUACCAGAAACCUAUGAGUUACAAAAUUGCCUCCAAUUGCAAUAAUAAUACAUAGAAUAGUCUCGUAUAAGCAGUUCUCCAACCUAUUAAUUAAAAAUAUUUAUAAAAAAAAAAAAACUAAGCUUGGUGAUUGUAGUUCACCUUCUCAGCAGCUUCUGUGACUCUGAGUGGGGGAGUCUCAACAUCUUCAACGUCCAGUUCAGAAAUAGGAGCAAACUGUCCUUCGUAGUACCUGAGGAGAAAUAAACCCUUAACACCCAUUUUUUCAAAUAUAAAAACAUAAAUGUGAAGCAUCAACUUUUAGAACCAAAGAGAUUCAGUGCAAUUUUCAUGUCAAAACACUUUUAUCUCAAUAAUGAAGUACUUAUGAGUUACAUUGAUACAAGAGCAAUGCAUCCCACAUAUCACACACAUUCCUUAUAUCUGGAUCCCCAACAAUAGCAAUCCAAUGUCACCCACAUAGCACAUGAUACAUACCAGAGGUGUCCCUAGAAUGUCCACAUCAGCCAUUCCUUAUAUCUGUGUCCCCAAAAACAUUUGCAGUAAAAAGUACAUGGACUUAUGAGCACAAAGGGAUAACGGACAUGUAUGGGUUGACUUGAGAGAUAAACCAAGUAAAGUAAGUUCAAGAAAAAAUCUAGGACCAAAUAGGAUACAAGGUCAGAAUCAGUGUGACCCAUCUAAAAAGUUAGGACCCCACAUUAAUUUGUGCAGUCAACAACGAGGAUCCAUCUUUGGAUUAUUAUCCUAAAACGCUCUAUCUUUGGAUUAUAUCCUAAAGUGCUGCUGGUUAAGCUUGUUUCUGGUUUUUCUCUGUUGGAAAUUUCAAUUACUAACGAAAUAUCCAAUCUUCAUUUAAACAUACAGAUUUAAACUCAACUGUUGGCACUGCAGACUCUUGGCCAUUGUUGGGAUUGAAAUAAGCUAGAGUUUCUCAAGAUAAAUGCGGAUGAGGUGGGUUUUAUUUGAGAUAGCGAAUUCCAUGUGUUUGUGGAUUUAUUGCCAAAGCAAUUUGGGAAGAUCCCUGCUGUUUCCUCCAGAUGGAUGGGGUUAUAAUUUCAUUGUAACUUUUCUGAAGUAAGUUUUAGUUGGACUCCUUUUCUUUGCAAUGGACAACUUCUCCUCCUUUCCUUUAGAAAAUGCUUUGCUUUGCUGAAUUUUUCGUAACUCUUAGAAAUGUAACCCAAACUAAGAUGAAAACCCCCAACAUGACCGUAUUUUAAUAUGCUAUCACUUCUAAUCCUCUAUAUCUUUCCACUUGUUUCUCCAACUACCAUCAUAUGACUCGAGAGUUGUAUUGUGAGAAAGUCAUCUGUAUAUCAAAACUGAAAUCAAAUGAUCAUCUCUUCAGCACCCACAUGGUCUAUGUUCUAUAGCUUUCAACCCAAGUGAACUGAAAGCAUGAGACUCACAUUUUGAGUUGCGACUUUAUGUGCCUGAGCCAGGGUGCAUAUGCAUGAUUGCUUUUCAUUCAUUUUAGAAAUCAUUUGAAGCAUUGCUUCAGACAUAUAAUCUUCAAUCUUUUCACCUUUUUUUUUAUGACAAACAGUAGCGUUAGUGGGUUAAAAGUUUAUUUGUUAGGGGGAGGGGAAUCGAUGGGCAUCAAACCCGCACCAGGGUGCAUAUGCAUGAUUGCUUUUCAUUCAAAGUGUAGCAAUAUGGGGCUAAAAGAAUCACUCAGUCAAUCUUUCUCAACACCUUAGGCAUCCACAUACACAUUGGGAUCAUGUAUGUGAUCUACAAAAACGUUUAGGUGGGGAAUAACUCAAAGAGGAGCAUACCUUGUCAAUAGUUCCACUGCUUGUGAUCCAUAUCCAAUCUACAACAACGAAAAAUAAAUUACCAUUUCAACAGAUCCCUGGUUAUAGAUUACCAUUUCAACAAAAUCCUGGUUAUACAUAUUGCUUUGGAAACCAUAAUGAGAGAAUACCUUCAUGGCACUUGGAUGUGUAGCAAUUCGUACAAUCCGAGCACCUGAAAGACUGGGAAAAACUGUGUCCUGAAAUUGCUCACAGAAUUUCCAUGGUAUCUGGUCACCAGAAGGCUGAUGACCAUCACUUAAACUUUUCAUUGCAGAUUCACGAGAGAUCUUUCCCUCAAGGCAGACCUAAGAACAAAAUGAUAGCACAUAAAAUGUUGAGCAUCAAAGAAUUAGUGUUUUAUAGAAGAUGAAGUACGUGUUUAAAGUGUUGUCCUUUAUUGCUAUUUCACAUAAGGUAAAAUUAUAAAUAAAAAAACUAAUAAAAUUUUGGGUAUGCGUUAAAUAACUAAAAGAAAUAAUAGUCCUGAACUAGGGGAAGACAGUCAAACCUGAAUGACACACAAAAUAUCAGGAAGCUGAUUUUUUGACUCAUCAACAGGGCCUGCACGUGCAAAUUAUAAUCAAGUCCAGCCAAAUAGCGGCAAAAAAAGAAAGACCAGUUCUAACGUAACAUAUAUACCAAGUAGCACAAACAGGUGGUGAGCCGGGGCAUCAGCCAUUAGUUGCAAAUCAUUUGGAGAAUUUUUGUAGUGGGAGGCAACAUAUAGAGCCAUCAUCCGCUGCAAGUAUUAGAAUAUGUAAGUUCACUAAUAUGAAAAUGAGAAUCACUAGUCUGACAUUACUUGAACAUGUAAUUACCUGUAAGAACAACUCGCUAUCUUUAUGAUAUGAAAAAAGCGUAUCACAGUUUACGUAGUACAGAUCGCACUCACUGGGUGCAGGUAACCUAGCCGCCAAGAGAGAGAGAAGAGAGAGAGAGAUCAUUAAUAAAGGUAAGGGUUAUAAUGGAGAUGGUUACAUCUUCCUCGGUUCUGACUGUCUAAGCAAAUGUUUUUACCCGUUAAGUUUAGGGAUAUAAUUUGUGAUAUCCAAGCAAAGUAAACCAUGAAGCCAGGAUUCAAUCGGAUCACCAGAAGCAUAUCUGAUAGAUUCUUUCAAUUCUAUCUUUUUGAAAAGACGACCUACAAUCAGGGACAUUUAUCAAUUCAGAAAAUUAUGUCCAAAUAUCACAAAAUAGUUUUUAAAAAAUUAUACAUUGCUCACUUGCAAGCGCCAACAGUUCAAGUAUUUCAGAAACAAUAAUGUUAAGAGAAAGCAGAAGAAACAUUGAAUUUUGAAAAUAAAUUCAAGUUUUGGGGGGAAAGGGGGAUUUUGAUCCAACCUAAUUCAAGAUGAGAAUACAAAACACGGCCAAUAAGGAAUAAGCAUACCAGAUGUAGGCCCCUUAGCAGACACUUGGCUUUGCUCUUCCAAUUGCUGUAGAAGUUUUAGGGACAAAGACCGACCAGUACCUUCAUAGCUUUCAGUGUAAAAUAAAUGUCCUUUAGUAUUUAAAUUGCACUUAGAUUUUUUUUUUUUUACCAAAAGUUGAAUUCAGAGUUGACUUAUAAAUAGAAAGACAUCAAGCAUGAGUCAAGGAAAAGUGGAAACAGCCCAUGAAAAGUGAAAGAUCUUUCAUUCCCCCCCGCGGCCGUAACAGAAAGUGAAAAAGUGAAGUGAAAUAUGUUUCAUGAGACUGUUAAAACCAAAAAAGAACACAUGAUAAGAAUACACGACAUGAAGGAAGAAGAACAUGGAUGAAUCUUACCCAUUAACAGUAGAUGAAAGGAAGACCAGAUAAGGACCAAGCAAAGACUUCACUACUGGUAGUGGAAUAGCAGCUGCUUCAUCAACAACCAACAGUUCAACUUGGGAAAGCUUUUCAUGCUCAUGUGGCCGUAUAUACUGCAAGUACAAGUAACAAAAGUAAAAAACAAAUAGCCCCAAAAGCAAUGAGCAGUACAAAGUUCUUUCUUUUAGGCUACAUGAGGUGUAAAGGUCUAGACCACCUCACAAUCUCACAGGCAUGUUGAGUGCCUCUAUACCAUACAUACUGGAUUAGUGCCAGGAAGACACAUUAGGUUGACCAAAAAGUUUGGCGUUUCAGGAACAUGCUUUUAGAAGCAAGCUUCAGUAAUCACAAACCAUCUAAAUUAUGUUCAAUAUGCUCACACCAAUAACAAAAAUGAUGCACUUGGGCAAAAGUACAAUAGAAUUUUUGGAGUAGUCAAACAAAGACAACCACUAAUCAUAUAUGAGGGCAUACGACAUUUGAUGGGCAAAAGGUGAACACACUCAUGGCUAUUGUGAUGCGGCUAUCCAAUAGAAGAAUAUUCUCUAUUACAACUUGGUUAUCAACUUUUCAUGAGUAACAAUUCCUCCAUGUAUUUGUAUUUUGGUAUCAACUGACUAAACAAAAUCUUUAUUGCUAUUUUUUUAUAGAAAACGAGAUUUUAUUAAACAGCUAAAAAACAAUACAACACUUAGUGGACUAGGAAGUCCACCAUCAAAACGAAACAGCCCUGACAUAUGCCUCAACAUUCACCUCCAUCAUUAUAAAACAGAUCUGCAACUAUCUCACUGCAACUCCCCAAUCCAACAAAAUUACAUAAAAUGAAAGAUCCCAAAACCUUGGAGAGAGAGAAGCCAUAAGAAUGCCCAAUUCUUUCCCAAGAAUUCUCUUGUAAAUCCCCACUCUAAUUUUCAAAGGUUGCAAACUUGAAAUUAACAUAGAAGGUAACUGGCUUCAGAGUCAACUAGGAUAAUACUGGGCAUAUAUGCAGAGAGUAGGCAUAGUAGCAACUUUCAGGGUAUGGAAUAAUACAAAAGGAAAGGGAAGACCACAGAAUUCUCUCAGUCAUCUUAACUUGAUUUGGUACUAAGAAUAAGUUAUGUAUACACUUCCCACUGGCCCAUCUGUACGUUAAUAUAGAAAUAGAUUAUAUCCUGGCAACAAGGAAGUGAAAUACUCCUAUUUUUAUAUCAAUAUUGGGCACAAAUUAAGAGUUCAUCAAUAUAAUUUUACCUCAAUUGUAACCAACUGUGCAUAUAAGUUUACCUGAAUUGUUUGUCUGUGCUGCUUGUAUAUAUUGAUCUGUACAGUUGCUUUCUUCAACAAAGGGUCACUACUUUUCUGUACAUCAUAAUCUAUAUGUUCCUGCAAACAUAGUUUACAACUGUAAGCUCAAUAACUAGUGCACUGUUCGAAGUACAUGAUUGAAAAAUGAAGAAAACGGAGUGACCUUAUAACAAUUAAUGAAAGAUAAAAUGUAGUUCACAGAAUAAAACAUUCAAACACCACCAUCUUGAUAGUUAAACAAUUUCACUGUAAAAGCUAUUAAACUUAGCAGGAAAAAAAAUUUAAACUUUAUCUAACAUUUGAAUCUACAAUUUUCAAUUAGCAACUCUUGUCACAAAUGUUUAUUAGUGGGGUACGUUCUAAGAUAUUGUUAUUUGCUAAUUGUCGAGGAUUAUUUGGGAGUUAAAUCUCACAAGAAGGCGUAAAGAUCACAUUAGAAUUAGAUAUUUUACUAGGAAGCUAAAGAUCACAUUAGAACCACCCGCAGGAAUACAAAAAAACGACAUACCUUAUAGUCCAGUUGAUCAAAACCCUUGCAAACAAAUUCGAACAAGGUUCUUAAGUUCUCAGGGCUGGGUGCAGUUACAAAUAUAUUUGAAUACCUGUGAAGAUAUAUUUGUAUCGUCAAAACAUAGUACAUGAAUAUGAGUGUAGACAGCUACACAUACACCAAAACAGUUUUAAUACAUUGUAAAAGGCAUACUACCCUGCAGCAAUAGCUCCGGAAAUUGCCAAACCAAGUGCAGCCGAUUUUCCACGGCCUCGAGCAGCAAGCAAGGCAACAGUACUUCGGAGUGUCUUGUCCAAGAUUGCAUCAAGAAAUGUAGCAACAGCAUUUCCCUGUUGAAACAUUUACCAACUCAAACUAUGAGUCAUAUUAGUAAAUCACACAUGAUAGAAAAACUCAAAACUAAUACAAAUCAGAGAGAGUGCCUACCUGGUCCAACGUACAACAUUUCUUUAUUAAAGGGCCAACAGGAAAGGCAUCACUCAGCUGCUCUUUUAGAUCCUUCAGUUCCCUUUGUGACUCUGAUAUCCCUUCAGAGUCCUUCAAUCAUGAUCAGAAAACAAGAAAAAAGUUAUCAAAGUUAUCAAAGCUUCACAAACUCCUAGAAAGUAUCCUAAUAACCAUUCGGUAUACACACACUUGAAAAAUUACUUUUAUUCUUUUUGUCAUCUCGCAUAAGAUGCCACGAAAAUAAAGCAUUCCUCGAUUUAUCAGUUCCGUCCUAUAGAAAAGUUACAAGGCUAAAAGGUUACCUCUUUCACUGGAACUGGGGUAAUUGACCUCAUAUGAGAUGAAAUUGGUAAAAUAUUCAGCUCAUCAUCCAUUACUACACAUGAUUUGCAUGACGCAAGUGACAAUAAGAAACGCUCGUUAAAACGUCCAGUAGCCUUAGAAUGGGAUUCAGUUCGAAACCUAUCAUGAACAUCCUGAAAUCAAGAGGCGCUGAUAAGACUGUAUGGAGAUUUUUGCAUUUGAGAGAACGAGAAAGACAGUGUUGCAAAUAAAACAUGACAUAACGGAAUUGUUAUCAAAUAUAAUAUGUGGUGCAUGGCUAUUGCUAUAUUCGUUCUAAGUCCAUAAUGUAGUAAAACUAGAAACUACCUCAACAAGAAGAACAAAUAUUAUGAGGAAACCUAGUUGUUUUUUCUUCUUCUUUUUGGGGCUAGAACAUGAAAAGAAACAACUAGUCUACAUAGGCCCAACUGGGAAACUUAUAUGUUCAGCAGCAUUCUCUUAAAGAAAGUCAAGCAAUUGAAUCUACCAAAAGUCUUCUUGUAGCCAAGCACAUCAUUACGAAAAAAUUCGGAAACUUUUAACAUGGCUAGUUUUCAAGAUUUUGCGGUAUAUAAUAAGCAUAACCAUGCUGGCCUAAAAACUAAGCAUUAAUUGUGUGCAUGCGUAAGAGAAAGAGGUAUUAUUAUAUGCAUACCAUAACCAUGGUGUAGAGGUUGGUGAGUGAGGUUAGAGAAUGAAGCAACAAUAUGACUAGUCCACCUCCCUCCACUGUCUCUAUCGUUCUUGCUAGUAGAUUUGGAGUCAAGGCCUCAAAAUCCUAAUGCAGGAGAUCAAACUUAGUCAUAAAACUUAAAUCAAUUAUACAAGGGGUCUUGGCCAAACCAGUAAAUUUGUAAGUUUCAAGUUACCUGAAGUAUACACAUUCCAAAGGUAUUACCAAGAACUCUUUCUGAAUCCUUGUACAAGCAAUAAGUCAAUCCCCCACUUUCAACAAAAAGUGAGAAAGGAUCAACCUUCUCGGGAUCAAGCAGCCCCCUCUGCAUCAUCUUUUUUACUUGCUUAGCACGUUUUUUCUUGUGACUGCAUCAUGAAGUAGUCAAACGCAACGAAUCAAUAUAUUUUAAAAACGAAAUUCCGCCUUGCCUUAUAAUAAGGUGAAGAAUGGAAGGUAGAAGAAAUCAACCUGCUGAGCUCGAGCUUGUCCUUGUAGCACCACAACACAGUCGGGCGCGAUUUCUUUACUUCAUUGCUUAGCAUAUAAUGAAGAUUCACAAUCUGAAGACCAUAUAAAACUCCAUAUUAGCCAUUUUCCGUUAGUUUUCGAUAGAUUUUCGAUGAUAUUUCUUACCUUGUUUGAGGUUUUUAGUGUUACUCGGUGAGUAUUGCAGGUGAAAACAAGAAACAGUAAAACUGGUAAAAUUUUCUACCCAAUUCAAUUUAAAUCAUUGUUAUAACUCCUCAAAUUGAAUAGGAAUAGCAAAUAGGGAAUGGGAUAGGAAAGGCAGAAGAAAUUAGGAGUACCUGGUCACGGGAUUUGUCGCCGACGAUGACGAACAUGGAGCGGUGCCGGUUUUUGACGCCAUUGCUUAUUAGGGUUCGGAUUCGUUCGUCCACCUUCUUCCUCAUUCUCUCUCUCUCUUCUCUCUCUGUGCAAUUAGGUUUAGGGUUUAUACCAUAGGGCAGUUGUCGUCGUCGGGCAGGGUUUAAGCCGAACUAGUGAGAGAGAGACUAGACAUCGCGGAGAGAUAUUGAGUUCAUCUCAACCGUUGAUUGGCUAUCUGAUGGCUGUUAUCAAAGCUGACAUAAAAAUGAAAACUCAACACGUGGCCAAGUAUUUUUUUUCUCUCUUUUUUGGCUUAUUUAUUGAUUUGCCCCAGAAAUUAUUUUUUUUGUCUUACUCUAGGUCAUGAAACAGAAUUUAUCUUACUUUAUCUUCUAAAACUACCAAAAUCGAGUCAUUUCACCCAUGUUUUGUCAAUUCUAUCUCAUAAACGUUAAAUAAAAGGGAGUCUAAACAUUUCAUACCAUGCUAGCAAAGAUGAGCCACUGUUGUUGGUGAGGUACGAAAUUUUCAAACUUUCCUAAACCUUUAAAACUUAAAAGGUAUCUUGAAUAUGAACGUAAAUGAGGUAAAGUUGCUCAAUUUUGGCAAUUUAUGAAGGGUAAAAUGAGACAAAUUCAAUUUAAGGCUAAAGUGAGAGUAAAUGGCAGUUUCAUGAGAUAUAUCAAUAAAUAAAUCUUUUCUAGAAUACAACUAAAUUAUGUACUCACGGUAAAAGAUAAAUUAAUAUCGAACUUGUCAUUGACGAUAUCUAAACAUAAAACCUUUCAAGUUUUUACCUAUAAGAAUAAAUUUGGUAUAGUAAUUUCUUUUCUAAUUUAAAGUUUCCCAUAGAGUUAUGACGAAUUUGAUACCAAAUUAGGCUGUCAUUGUGUGGCAUAGCCGAAUUCCUCCUCCCUUACUUUAAAAAUAACGAUGUACUCAAAAAAAGUUUCCCAUAGAGUUAAAAUGAUCUUUAGUUGCUUGCUGAGACAACCCAUAUGUAUAAUAAGACAUUGAAAAAGGUGCCUCUGUCAUUUACACUCACACGAUCGAAUAAGUAGCUCCGACAGUUGCAUCAUAAAAUUAAGGGGUUUUCCGAGAUUGUAGUAAGGUUGACGAUUAAAGUUUGGGAAAUUUUCAGGUUAAGGAAUCAAGGGAUCACAUUUUCAAGUUUCGUAGGCAUUCUCUUUCCUUUGGAAUGGUGUUGGAAUCCGUCCUGAAGUUGCCCAUUCCUUUGCUCUUGAUUUUCAGAGUUGGAUAGCUAUAAACCUUAGGACACAUUGUACCACCAUACAUGGUUUACCUUGGAACCUUAUCUUUAAUUCAACUCUCUGGCAUUGCUGGAAAUGGAGGAAUAACUUUGUCUUCAAUGAUGGCCAACAACCGCUUGACUCACCCCAGAAUUUCAUUUUUCAAUUUGCAAGGGAAUGGUGUGAUGCGAACAAGUGUUCUUCUAGUAAGCCUCCUAGACAAAAUCAUCUCAAUCCAUUGGAUUCGUUUGCCAAUUGGUAUACAAAAUCAAUACAGAUGGGAGUUGUAAAGACCCAUUUAGCCACAUAAGUGCUGGAGGUUUGCUUCGUAAUUCUGAAGGGAAAUGGAUUAAGGGAUUUGCUGCUAAUUUGGGCAGAGGAACCAUCAUGGAAGGUGAGCUUUAAGGGUGGUUUCAUGGGACUUUCUAUAGGUUGGGAUGAGAGUUGCAAGGAAGUGAUUAUUGAAUGUGAUUCUUAUGCUGCUGUUACUUUGAUCCAACAACCUAUUUUAGUUCCCACUCUACAAUCUCAUUAUUGACUGCAAAGAAGCCAUUGAAAGAAAUUGAAGAUGUGAAGUUACUCAUAUCUAUAGAGAAAAUAAUGUCUUAGCUAAUCACACGUCUGACUUAGGUCAUGGGUUAUCACUUGGUCUUCAUGUUUUUGCUUCUCCUUCUACCAUUGCUACUAAUUUUAUAGUUUCUAAUACUAUUGGCAGGGCCCUCCCUAGAGCUGUUUUUUAGUAGCUUUUUUGUUUUGCUUGUUGGGCUUUGCCCUCUUCUGUACCCAAAAAAAAAAAAAAAAAAAAAAAUAUUGGGAAAUUUAUUUGGACCCAACUUUUUUAUCUCUACACCCAAAUAAUAUUUUCUCUUAUCUAAUCUUCCAAAUUUGUCCUUAAAUAACAAACAUUGAAGUUUUCUUUGUAUCUCUACACCCAAACCCCACGAUCCACCACUGUAGGGCGCUCCAUUAUUUCCGACAAACCCAACUCAAACGCCAGCAACACUAAAAUCGACAAAUCAAGACUGGAGAACAAAUGGUGUAGGAGUCCUAAUGUGAAUAUUAAAGCAAACUUAAGUUGCAAAACCCUUUUUUAUUUCAAUCGAUGAAAGGACCUUGGGUUAUGAACAUAAGGAACCUAUUAGGGUUUAGAGGUCCCCUCCACAUCAUAUGCAUAAGCCCUUUUUCUUCAUUCAUUAAUUUACGGAAGGGAAAAUUAAUACUAUUAUUCUCAUAAAAAGUGGGAAUACCAAGGAAAGAGAUCCUCUCCACACCAUAUAUUUUUCUUUUCUGAGUAGUUAUAUCCAAUGGAGAGAGGAAAACAAGAGCACCAAUGGUCGCAGGUUCACCGGAGAAAAUGAAGGUGCAGUGGUGAUGUGAGUUUAGGGUUAUUGGGUGUAAAGAUAACAACUUUAAUAUUUAUUUUCUCAUUUUUAUUUAUUUAAGGGCAAAUUUGAAAGUUUAGUAGAGAAAAUUUGUUAGUUGGGUGUAGAGAUAAAAAGGUUGGGUCCAACAAAAUUUCUCAUAAAGUUUAAUCACGCGAUUAAGUUCUUGUGCAAUGAGUAAAUUGUAGCAAUGACCCAUCAACUAAAAAUCCAUUAUUAUUGAUCCCUCAACUCAUCAAAAUAUGUAGUUAUGGUCAUUUUCGUCAACUUUGUAAGAAUUUUGUCAAAAUAAAUUAUGUUGGAAGGACCAUUGUUACAAUUAAGGUCCUUCAACUCAUCAAAACAUGUAGCUAUGGUCAUUUUCGUCAACUUUGUCAAAAUGAGUUAUGUUGGCAUGACCAUUAUUGCAAUUGGGUUAAAGUUGAGGAAUCAUUGCUCCAAUUGGGUUAAAGUUGAGGGAUCAUUUCUCUAGUUAGAUUAAAGUUGGGGGACCAAUGAUAAUUAAGUUUUAGUUAAGGGAUCAUAGUUGCACGUUUUGAUGAGUUGAGAGAUCAAUGAUAAUGAAUUUUUAGUUAAUGGAUCAUUACUCCAAUUGAGUUAAAAAUAAAGGACCAUUGCUACAAUUUACUCUUGUGCAAUAGAAGAUUAAUUUGGCCGAACAACCUGAUUAAGGUGCCUACUUUCUCUUUAAUUCAUUGGUAUCAUUUAUUUUCCCUUAAGCUGAAUUAUGCUCAAUUUAUGUAUCAAUAUUGUAAAGUUGUCUUUGUUAGAGUAAUUUGGACAAUAUAAAUUGAAAAUUAUUUGUGUAUAUGGAAAAGAUUAACCUCAGGGGUCACUUCGCCGGACUCCGUAGCAAUCUCCACCACUCCAAUCGUAAUGGUGAGUAAAUCACUUGUGUUUGUUUCCAUUUUUUCAAUUGGAAAUUGGGGGUUUUGAAUUCAUAUUUUGUCAAUUGGUUUUGUGAGCACUGAGAAUACACUACGAGCUUGUGUGUGUGUACAAUAUGUUGGAUUUGAUCUUUAUAAAGAAUGCGAGAAAUUGGGGUUAGGAAAGAGAAGAAAAGGAAACAGAACUCGAACUUCGAUCUUCAUUCUUGUUACUAAAGGAGAAAACCGAAUUUGAACCGGUUCAUACGUAAUCGAACCGAAUUUGUAUAGUUCGGUUCACCCCUUAGUACCGAACCGUACCAUACCAAAAAAAAUUUCUUGAGUUUGGUUUUGAUACAUCCCUCAUACUGUACCAUACCAAAUCGUGGCCAGACCUACUGAAUACAAAACUUAUAUCUGGGUCGUAAGUCGUAAGGCCUCCAAAAAAAAAGUUCAUAUUAUUCAUACCAAUCGGACAAAUCCCGCACCCAAAAACAAUGGCUAGAUAGAAAGUUCAAUUAUAGAUUAGGUAAUCUAUCCUUUUCAACUUAAAUGCACAUUCAUGAUGGUUAUGCAAAUCAUAUUAUGUUAACAAAUGCAACAAUUAAUUAUAUUUAUCCAUUUGGAAUGAUAUAUAUUUUCAAAGAUGGAAUUACAGACCCCGUUGACGUUGAGGCCAUUGCAUGAGAGAAUUUUAGAUGAUUUUCAAUUAAUUUAUAUUAUUGUUGUGAUAACCAUAAUAAUUAUUUUCUAAAUGUAAAACUAUAUUAAUGAAAUUUUCUUUGUCGGUCAAAAGAAGAUGAAAAGAUAUCUUUAUCUUCUAUCACAACAAAAAAAUUAAGGAUAUUAAUGUAAUAGGCUAAUAGCGAUGGGGUGAAGAAAUGGAACUAUCCUAAAUAGGCAGUUGCUGGUUAUAUUGGAUCAGGUGGUCUGAAUGAUUGGAUAAUUAGCAAAUAAAAAGGUUCCAUUUUUCAUGGACCCUCAAGUGGAAAUAUGGGAUAAAAGAUGGCAUAUACCAUUUUAUCCAUUUGUGAUUGUACAUUUUGAUGGUUGUGAUUUCACCCGAUGGCGCGGCAAGUGUGGAUUGGGAUAAGGAUGGUUUUGGUCUAUCAUCAAAGAUGGUUUGAUGUUCACGACUGGAUUUUACAACGCAUCCAAGUGCAUGGGUUCUAUAAAUACAGAGUUGCGCACAAUAAAAAAGUACAAAGGACCUUCAAACCUUUCACACACUCUGAGAAACUCCUGAUUCUCCCAACUUCGUCAACACAUCUUCAAUUUGGAUUAACAUCACUGUUUGUCAGUGAGGAGUCCUUAGUCUUCUCGUCUCAUUAGCCCUCUAGGUGAAGUGAGGUGUUACUGAAUUACUUGAGUAUUCAGCACAUUGAAAGUCGAACCUUAUUUGAACUUCACAGUAGUUAGCAAUCUUAUCUUCAGGUUUUAGAACCCAAUGCCAAGACAUAUUCCUUCCUCGACAGUGAUGGUUUGUACACAAAAGUUGGUUUGUACACAUAAGUCAGUAUUGUGUUUGACACACCAUCCCAUUCAUUCUACUAGCCCACAAACGCGUGGACUCGUCCAAAAUUACCCCACUCUCGGCCCGUUCACUUGCCCACUCGUCCCACGCGGCCCGUGAGUCUUCAGUGCCUGAUAGGGGGGCCUACUGUUAGGGCCGUUGUUGGCCACAACCCAGAGCCCAACGAUUUUUUUUUGCAUCCCACGACUGGCAUUUUUGGACCGUUGGUUGAUCCAACGGUCCAGAUUCAAAUUUUGUUUUUUUAAAUGUUAUUUUAAAAUACAUUGAAUCCAACGGCUGAGAUCGAAUAUAAUCAAAUCUAACGGUAAAAUAAAAAAAGAUAAAAAAAGAUAUAACAGUCCAAAUUUAAAUCCAACAGCUAAAAUAAUUUUAAAAAAAAUUAUUUAACUCAAAAUUCACCCAAAAACUCUAUAAAUACCUUUGUAUUUGUUCAAACAUCCACACAAAACUCAAUUUUCUCCCACAAUUCUUCCAUUUUUUCUUUCUACCAUUUCUUUCCAUUUCCAAAUUGUUCAACACGAUCCUUGAAUUGGCCAUCCCAAGCAGUAAGACAAUUCUUCCACUCCCAAAGCAUACAAUCGAGACUUCCUAUCAUGUCAGGAAAGCCUAUUUUGUCUGCUUUGAGUAGAAUGUGACGACAUGUCCCGAAUUAUUAUAUAUUUUUCUCCCUAAGUGUGUAAAGUGACGGUAAUGCCCUCGUGAUUUAGUGACGUGGAUGUACAUAUGUAGUUUUAAAUUAUUAUUUCUAUUGUCGUAGUUAAAUUGUACUCGACGCCAUGAGUGUGUUGAUGUGACCUAGGGCUAAAACAAAUUCGUAACGAAGAAGUUACGAACAGACGAGUGUGUAAAUGCGUAGAAAUAUAUUUUUAUGGGUUGGCUAUACCUUACCCACCAAUCACCUUAAUUCCUGAUUUCUUUGGCCUAAUUGAAUUAAAAAUAUCUCUCAUUUUUCCUUCUGCCCAAUCACGCACAUACACACCAUCACUCUCUCUCUUCUCUCGGACCUUCUUCUUCUUUCUUCUCAUUCCGUACACCCGAGCCACCCUUACCUCACAAUCAUCAUCAAAACAUUAUGGAUCGAAUUGGAAAUCACUACCAUCGCAGUCACCUCGAUCCCACGAACUCAUUGAUACCCUUAGGUCGAGGAAUAGACGUCGGGAAUUCGAGAACUCGGGAGCUCUGGCGAGGUGUAUUUUUCUACUUUGUGAUCGUGGUCUUUUUCUAUGGUUUAAAGGCUUGAGGUGGGUCCUAAUCAACUUUAUAGGGACCCUAGAUUAGUUUUGGAGCAGUUUGAACGUUGGAAUAGGUGAGAACAUGGAGUUGCAGGUUGGCCGGUUGAUCCAAGCCUUACUCCGACCACUUUCUGUCGGUUUUAGAACCUCAAGUAGGUAAGAUUGUAUUCUUCUAGUUGAGAGUUUCAAAUCCAUAUAAAAUUCAUGGAAUUUGGUUGAAAAAUGAUGAAGAUAUUAAAGUUUUAAGAUUUUUCCAAAAAUCAGCGACACAAACGGCGCCCGACGGCCAGCGAUGGAUUCCGACAAAGCCAUCGGAGAAGGAGGAGAAUAUUAUGUCUAACUUUGACAGAAUAUACUAACAGCGUCAGGUAACUCUAUUAGUUUUUAAACAAAAUAUUCUACUAUUUAAUGAAAUAUUCCCUAACGCCGUUAGGGAUUCCGUGCCUGCACGUGCCGGCUUAUGAGGGCGCGUGAGACGUCAGGAAAUUAAUCUAAAAAUAUUGGGGUGUUCGAGUUGUUGAGUAGGUCAUGUUGGUAUAUUCAAACACCCUAUUUGAGCAACGUAUGAGAAGUUAUUCCUAGGGUUUGUGUAUGUGCCUUAAAAUUAAUGUAAAAUUAGUUAUUUCGCAUAUAGGUGAGACUUACCCGGAGGACAAACGUGGUCAAACGAGACUUGGGGGCUACGAUCCUACUACUUACCAGUGAGCGGGCUUUUUUUUUCUAUAUAUAUGUAAAUAUGCUUAUGAAUCCCAUAAACUACUUUAAAUGAACGUAUGUUUUAAAUGCCAUGUCGUGUGCAUUAUGUGUUAGUAUUGCAUUAGUAUAGCUAUGCAUAGUAUUGGAUGAGACUGCGCAGACUCAGGUAAGUUUCAGGUGAGUACAUCAUGAUGGUAUUGGGUGCGUGUGUGUGGUUAUACGUUGAUGCAUUUUGAGCUUAUUAUCCUGCACAUUGGUGUUAGUGUUCUCGCCCAUGGCCAGGGCAUAGUUUUUCACAUGAUGUUCACCUCCUGGGCCGCACGCUCACUUUGGAUCCAAGUUUGGUGCACAGCCAUAUUGCACAGACCACAAUAGGUGGUUCCGACUCGUAGGUGACCUGCAAUUAUUUGCACAGCCUUCACGUGAUCGUAGCACUUAAGCGUACUUAUCUACACCCAGCCCUGUUGUACAGACCACAAUAGGUGGUUCCGACUUAUGUGCAUGCAUACUUGAUGAGCUAUAGAUUCAAUUGUACAGGUUACAUUAGGUGACUCCGGUUGGCAUACUAUUUUAGGUUGAUUCGUAUCACCUGGCUUACACAUUUUAUGGUUGAACAUCUUGACAUGGCAUACCUCUGUUUUCACUGCUCUAAGCAUUAUCCUUAUGUACCUAGUUGUUAUUAUUUUCUGGAAAAUUAUAUGGGUUUACAGUGAGGGGUUAGUAUGUUCAUAAAGACAACUGUGUUUUCAAAAACUUUGUUUUUGCCUACUCACAUUUUUUGUUUUGCACCCUUUCAGGUUCUAGGUAGUUGGUCAUCCUUGGUGGCUCACGAGGACUUUCACGGCGGUUCUGACAUCUCUGUAAAUAAGUAGGGAUUUUUUUCCCUGUUUGUAUAAUUAGUACUUAGUUGGUUCGAUUGCACUUUCGUUUACCCAUGCUCUGAUAUUUGUAUAACUUGCUUGGUCAUCUUUACUCACUUAUAUUAUCUUAGUUUAGAUAAGUUUGGUUUUAGGUUUUUAUUUAUUCGCAUUUCUUUUAUUAUUACUUCUGUUGCGCAUUUUGGCUACGUUACUCUUACGUGACGGGCAUCAUGUUUCGACUUCGGUUGGGGUGUGUCAUAAAAGCCUCUUCAAGUCUUCAUGAUUUGGCUUGCAGAGAUAUGUGGCUCCAUAUGUGGCCUGAAUUGCCCCACAGAAGCGCUCCAGGUUUUUAAUAGCAGUAGUCUCCGCAAGUCGGCAAUACUCAUCAGUUGAGUUUGCAGAGCACUCAUUAGCUAGCAUCCGAAAUGCAGAUGUGAGCUUCUGAUGAGGUGAUAGACUUUGUCGGCCUACGACAUUUAUCUUCCUUGCAAAGUAGUGGUCAUGAUUGACAACUGUGUUCAAGAUGCUUUCAAAAAUCUCUCUCCUCAUUCGAAACCGUCUCCGAAAAUCAUGAGCAGGAAAUCUCGGACGCUCAAUAAAAUAAUAUUUCAUCAUUCGGUCAUGACACUCUUCUCUAUCACGUUGCACAAAUGAACGCUUCGUGACAUAACCACAAUAGCUAGAUUCGACAUGGUGCUCAUAUUGCAUAAGCGAGUUUGGAAGUUUAGCUUAUGCGUUGAUCAUUUUUGAAUCCUCAAUGUCAAGGCUUGCUUGGUAUUAUGUCAUUUGCAUUGCCCUGCUACACCUUCUUCUAUCAUCCAUUGUUGAUAUAUUGAGGAUUUUUAUGAAACAAAAACACUUUGAAAGUUGAAAGAUUAGUGAAUAUAGGGAAUGAUUGAAGGUUGAAAGAUUGUGUGACCAACUGAUAUUGAACAUGUGUUUAUAUAGAGGAUGAUUGAUGAAAGUUGAAAGUUUGGUGAAAGUUGAACGGUUGGUGAAAGUUGAAGAUUUGUGAAAGUUAAAGACUUGCUUUGUGGAAAGAUUUAGUGAUUUUUUCAAUAUUUAUUGGAAUUUAAAUAUUUUUAUAUUAAAAUGUUCAUAAAAUUAAUUUACCAUAGGCUACAUAAUUUUUUUUAAAAGUUAAUUUAAGAAAAAAAAUUAGCCUAAGUUCAUUCUUUAAUAAUCCCGAACUAAAAUUUUAGGCUAGGGUUGGAGCAGAAAAACUGUUUCUGUGUUAAAAGCUAAAUUUUUUAGAUUAAAAAUUUUAAAUUUUAACCCAAAGGUUGGAGAUGAUUUAAGAAUGGAUAAACUUAACCAAGAAAAGAAGAAAAAAGAUGAAGGGCAAAUAAGUGAGAAGCAACAUGACACGACACACGGACGACCAUAGCAAUAAAGCGUGCGUCCUCACGUCCAUUGAAUAUAUAGAUGGGAGCUACAACAUCGUGUUUCACGUGCAUGUGUAUUAUACAUAAAGGCAUAUACAGUGUUAGCUUAUAUAUUAUAAAGUUUGUAGGCCACUUACCCAAUUUGGCAUAUGUUUUAUCUUUUUACGUGAAUAACCAAUGUGUUAUGAUGAUACAAGUCUCUUAACAUAUCCGGAGUUAGAAAUAUCAUAAGACAGUGUUGCGAUCAUAUUGAAAUUAAUUGACAGUUUGUAUUAUAUAUUUGAUUAUUCUUUAUUAACUUAAGGAGACAGCAUACUUAGACCUAAUUUAGUCACAUUCUCCAACCGAAAAUAAAGCGGUGUAGUAUUCAUACACUUUUUUUUAUUUCUUACACAGUCUUAAUUAAUUUCUAUUGUUUGAUCUUCUUCAAUUCAUUCGAUCUGACGACCGAAAAUUAAGAUGGUGUGUGGACGAGUAAAUUAUAACAAUGGUCCCUCAACUUUAAUCAAAUUGGAGCAAGGGUGCUCAACUAAAAAUCCAUUACCAUUGGUUCCUCAACUCAUCAAAAUGUGUAGCUAUGGUCAUUUUCGUCAACUUCGUUACAAUUUUGUCAAAAUAAGUUAUAUUGGAAUGACUAUUGCUACAAUUGGGGUCCCUCAACUCAUCAAAACGUGUAGCUAUGGUCAUUUUCAUCAAUUUCGUUAGAAUUUUAUCAAAAUGAGUUUUGUUGGAAUGACCAUUGCUACAAUUGAAUUAAAGUUGAGGGACUAUUAUUUCAAUUGAGUUAAAGUUGAAAGAUCAUUUCUUCAGUUGUAUUAAAGUUGAAGGAUCAAUGGUAAUGAAUUUUUAGUUGAGGGGACUAUAGCUGCACGUUUUAAUGAGUUGAGAGAACAAUAAUAAUGAAUUUUUAGUUGAAAAACUAUUACUUCAAUUGAGUUAAAAUUAAGAAACAAUUGCUACAAUUUUUUUAUAUGGAAAGUGGAUGAUGUGAAUAGCACAUCCAAAAAUAAAAGGGAACUUUAACGAAAAGCACCCGGUACUGUUCACUUUAACGAAAAACCACAUUUUUACACUAAAAAGUCAAUCCUGGUACUAUUCACUUUACCCUUUAUUUUGUCCUUAUCAUUAAAACUCAAAGUUUUCAAGCCCUUUUCAUUAGUUUUCCUAAAAUAAAAUGCACCACAAUUUGGUAGGAUCUUCCUGUUGAGAGUAAUAAAUUAAUAAUUGCCGAAAUAUUGGAUAAUUUGUCGGCCACAACGCUAUGAGGGAGUAUCUGGGGAUGAAUAUACUCUUGCCGACAGAUGCCCAAAUUCCAACUGCCAUUCAAAUGAGCCCUCCACCACCACCGGCCAUAAUAAAUUCUCUUUCUUUAGUGAAGAAGAAAAAGAGGUACUUGGCCCUCACCUCAACUUUUUGAGAAAGAACAAGUUUAUCGCUAUCAGAAUGUUUCGGUCAAUUAUAUAAGUUAUGUGUAAAUUUUUCUUUAGAUAACAUUACAUUAUUAUAUUUAAAAUGUUCCGUAACGAUAAAUUUGUUUCAUACAAAUUAUUCUCCAACUUCUUGGAUUUUUCUCCUUUUUCCCGAAAACCAGCUUAUAUUAGUGUUCAUCCUCUGUCAAUAUCACUCGCCCACAACUAUUCAACUAACUUUUAAUAAUUUGACAACGUGUCAUAUUUUUGUGCAAAGCGGGCCCAUUUUUGUGGGUGAUAUAAUAAUGGCGUAUGUGGUUUGUCAAGACAUAUACUCAUUUAUCCAUUAGCAGUUAGGUAAGUCACCUCACUCACCCACAGCCUAACACAUCAACAAAUAUUGCUUACAAAUUCUAGAAAAUUCGACCAAGAAAAAAAACCAAAUGCUCGCAAAUUAAAAUUGUGUAACAUGAUUAGUUUUUUAUCCAUUAGUAUUAAUUUUACGUUGGAAGAAAUUCCAAAUUUAUUCUUGUAAAGAGGGAUAUGAAAAUACUUUGUAUGUCUAUCACCAAAAUCUUCGAAUGUUUGAAUGGUUGAUUUUCAAGUCUCACACAAUUGGAUUUAGUUCAAGUGAGAAAGAAAUACACUCAAACUAUUAGAUAUGAGGAAUGAAAAUACACUACAAAAUCUUGUGAACAUUUCUAAUAUUCUCUUCUAUCUACUUUUUGUGAACCAAGUUUUUAUUUGUUUUUUUUUUUAACAAAAGAUAUUUUUUAUACUAGGGAAAUAAGGUGGGUUUAGCCUCAUAAUGGGCUAACAUAAUCUAGUUCAAACUUGCAUUUGGUGAGAAUCGAACCUAAAAUCUCUCACUUACAAGUGAAGAGGAAUACCAUUAGAAGUGUCAUGAAAUUAGCAGUCUUAUAUGUAAAAAAUUGAUUGACUAAAUGCUGUGUUAAAAAACAAGAUUAAUACUUGCAUCUCCCCACUUGGAAAAUGCAAAUAUUUCAUUUCUUGCAAAUAACGUAUAUCAUGCGUUCUGUUCAAUCGCAUAUUCAAAAAUGUUAAAAACAAGAUUAAUAUUUCUAUCUCCCCACUUGGAAAAUGCAGUAUUUCAUUUUUUACGAAUAACGUAUAUCCUGUGUUCCGUCCAAUCGCGUAUUAAAAAAAUGUGUGAAGUUUGGAUUAACUACACUCUUUGAGAAUUUCCUUAAAUAACCACUUUUUGAAAAUUUCUUAUAGGACUAAGUGAGUCUCCGCUGAGAAUUUCCUUAACUAACACAACACUACUUGAGUGAUAAUUUGUUAUAUCUUGAAUAGAGAAUAAAUCAGUUCCCUACUUUUGAAGGUACUAUUAACUUACACUAUAUUUGAAUGAGAACAAUAAACUUAGAAUUUAGAUGAAGGAAAUAAAACAGUUUCCUACUUUUGAAGGUACUACUCGAGUGAUAAUUUGUUAUAUCUUGAUAACGUGUCAUAUUUUUUUGCUAAGCGGACCCAUUUUUGUGGGGUGGUAUAAUAAUGGCGUUUGUUGUUUGUCAAGGGCAUAUACCCAUUUAUCCAUUAGCAGUUAGGUCACCUCACUCACCCACAACCUAGUACAUCAACAAAUAUUGCUUACAAAUUCUAGAAAAUUCAACCAAGAGAAAGAAAACCAAAUGCUCGCAAAUUAAUCUGUGUAACAUUAGUUUUUAUCCAUUAGUAUUUAUUUUACAUUGGAAGAAAUUCCAAAUUUAAUCUCGUAAAGAGGGAUAUGAAAAUACUUUGUAUAUCUAUUAUCAAAAUCUUUGAAUGUUUGAAUGAUUGAUCAUCAAGUCUCACACGAUUGAAUUUAGUUCAAGUGAGGAAGAAAUACACACAAACUAUUAUAUAUGAGGAUUGAAAAAUACACUACAAAAUCUUGUGAUAACAUUUCUAAUAUUCCUUUCUAUCUACAUUUUGUGAUAAGUUUUUUUUUUCCUUUUUUGAACAAACUAUAUUUAUCUACAUUAAGGGAGAGGAGGUGAUCUUAGCCUCACAAUGGGCUAGCAUAAUGUGGUUCAAAUUCGCCUUUGGCGAUAAUCGAACCUAAAACUUAUCAUUUACAAGUAAAUAGGAAUACCACUAGAUGGAUCAUGAAAUUAGCAGUCUUAUAGGUAAAAAAAAAUUGAUCGACUAAAUGAUGUGUUAAAAAACAAGAUUAAUACUUGCAUCUCUCCACUUGAAAAAUGUAGAUAUUUCUGUGAACACGGAAAAUUCCUGAAACGAAAGAGACAAGAACAACGUGCACAAAAUAAUAUUUUGGUGUUAAUGGAUUUGUUGGGUUACGAUCUCUUUUAACUUGAUCCUCUGAUUCGAUCUCCGUAAGGUGUUGAUUUAUGGAUGUUUCGUUGAUCCAAGGGCUGUUGAGGCUUGAUCUUAGAUGAACUGUUGGAAGUUUCUUCAAGGGGCCGUGGGCUUGAUCUUUGAAGGUGGAUUUGAGCGGAUCUUCAAGGAGCCGUUGGGGCUUGAUCUUGAGGAUGAGUGUUUCUUCAAGGGCCGUUAAGGCUUGAUCUUGAAUAACGGUGAUGAACGGAUCUUCAAGGGCUUUUGGGCUUGAUCUUGAAGAACGGUUGGAUGUGUGGAUUUGUUGAUGUUGUUGAUCCAAGGGCCGUCGGAGCUUGAUCUUGGAAGAACGAUGAACGAAGAACGAAGAACACUUUCUUCAAAGGCCGUCGGGGCUUGAUCUUGAAUUGGUGAUUGUUGAUCCAAGGGCCGUCGGGGCUUGAUCUUGGAAGAACGAUGAACGAAGAACGAAGAACACUUUCUUCAAGGGCUGUCGGGGCUUGAUCUUGAAUUGGUGAUUGUUAAUCCAAGGGCCGUCGGGGCUUGAUCUUGAUUCUUCGGGAUGAACGGAUGAUGAACAAUGAACACUUUCUUCAAGGGCCGUCGGGGCUUGAUCUUGAAUUGGUGGAAGUUCUUCAAGGGCCUUUGGGGCUUGAUCUUGAAGGUGGAUGAUUGUUGAUCCAAGGGCCGUCGGGGCUUGAUCUUGGGAUGAACAGUUGUGUGGAUUUGUUGAACACUUUCUUCAAGGGCCGUCGAUGCUUGAUCUUGAAUUGGUGGAAGUUCUUCAAGGGCCGUUGGGGCUUGAUCUUGAAGGAGGAUUUGACGAAGAACGAAGAGGGCUUUCUUGAUCCUUCGGGAUUUGCUUGAAUUUGGGAGGUUGGAUGCUUGAAAGCUUUAGAGUUUCAAAGCUUCAAGGAUUUUGGAUGUGUGGGGAGUAUUCUCUUCCAUUUUGGGAGUAGAGAAAUGUAUUUGUGAAUUGGUUUUUGAUACCUUGAUGUAGAAGCCUAUUUAUAGGCUUUGAGAAUGAAUCACCACCACAAAAUAUUUUUUUUCUUUUCCAAGCACCAUUGCCUAAUUUCCCACUUAAUACAAUUUUAAACUUGAAGUGGUAAUUUUAUGGCCUAAUUUUCCACUUAAUAUCAUUUUAAACUUGAUAUGUGCAUGCUUUGUCAUUGCCCAAAAUGAGAAGAAAACCUUGUUUUGAUCUUCAAUGAAUUGAAAUGUGCUUGCCUUGUCAUUGCCCAAAAUGAGAAGAAAAACUUGUGUAAUCCUUCAAGGGUAUUUCUUUUUAUUUUGUUGAGUCGCACACCAUGUGUACAAUUUGUAUGACACGUGGCAUAUGCCAUGUACGCCUUGACACGUCAAAAUUUUAAUGCGUUGGUGAACAUUUAUUUCACCGCAAUUUCGGUGUCUACAAAUGCCCCCACUUCAAGGUGCGUCGUAUACAUGUGCUUGUCACGUGUAGGAGAUGCGUUUUGAAGUCCCUUACUGUAGAUGUCAAUCCAAUGGCCAUCGAGGCUUGAUCUUGAAUUGGGCUGGAGAUUUCUUCAAGGGCCGUUGAGGCUUGUUCUUGGACUUUGUUUGAAAUUUCUUCAAGGGCCAUCGAGGCUUGAUCUUGAAGGUUGAAAUUGGACCACAAGGAGCUUCAUGUGGUAGAUGAUCUUUGGCUUUGGUAGUGGAUGAAUCGGCACGUAUUUGUUUUUGCGCUUUGUUGACUUUCCACAGCUUUGAUCUUGAACUGGGUUGGAGGAUUUUUUGGAUUCCUCCAAUUGUUGAUUUUCCACAGUUUAUUCUUGAACUGGAUUUGAUUCAAAUAUGGUGGACGCUUGAUCUUGAAUCGGACUUGUGAUUUCCUCAAGGGCCGUCGAGGCUUGAUCUUGAAUUUGGCCGGAAACUUCUUCAAGGGCCGUUGAGGCUUGAUUCUUGAAGGUUGACUCGAACACAUGGCAAGCAGGCACGAGGUGAAGGUGACGACUUGUUGCUUUGUUCAAUCUUUCUAAUUCACACCUGAGCAGUUUGGUCAACGGUAUGAUCUUCAAGAUUGAUGGGCUCUUCUUCCAGUUGGUGAUUUGAUCUUUAAGGAUUUGAUUCAAGGGUGGUGAAACGGCACAUGCAGCCCACAACGCCUAGCAAGUCGACCCAAGAAUUUGAGGGUUAAAACGAGUCCUCCACCCAGAGUGAUUGCAAACCUGAUGAUAUGAGAUACUUUUGAUUUUGAAGAAGUAGCGGAUGAAUCGGCACGUGCUUUGUUGUGCUUGUCUCCACAUGCUUCAAUGUAUCAUUUUCCCUUGUCUUAUCUAUUCUUCUAGCAGAAUGUAGCAUCUUCUUAAGUUCUUCAACUCAGACUCCUUCUGCUGAGCUGACUGUGCAGGCUGCAUUAUUCUCUGCUUGUUUCUUUAGGCAGAUGUGGCAGCUUCUUGAGUUCCUCAGCUCGGACUCCUUCUGCUGAGCUGAUUGUGAAGACUGCAUUCUUAUCUGCUUGUUUCUUCUGUACGUUGUCUCCACAUGCUGCAAGGUAUCAUUUUCAAUUGCCUUAUUUGUUUUCCAGGCAAAUGUGGCAUCCGAGUUUGAGUGGAGGUUCUGGCAUAUUGUUUUCUUUAUCCUUGUCUUUGUAGGUAAGAACAAGGACAAAGGAAAGGACAGGGAGAACGCAUGAUAUGAUAUACUCUUGCUUUCUACCCUGGUGAUAUGAGAUACUUUUGCUUUGGUGUCAUUUGUUUGCAGAGGUACCCCAAGGAAUAAGAAACACUGAGUGACUCGAGAGGCUUUGUUGGGAAGGCAUUCUAGGAGAUGAAGAAAGGUUCUUGGAGAUGAAGAAAGGUUCUCGGAGAUGAAGAAAGGUUAUGUAUGUCUGCCUUGCUAUGGAGGGUAAAGGUGGACAGUUAUAGGAAAUUCUUUAGUACCUGUAGAGGUACUAUUCUUUUACUCGUGUCGGCAACCAAUGUGUGAUUGAUCAGUAUGGCUUCACGUGUUUUCUUCUUUAUCAGAAAUCUUCGACAAAUUGUCCGUAAUUUUCGUCAAGCUGAGUGUGCAUGUGACAGGUGUUGACGAGGCUGAAAAAGACUGGUGCCUCUUCGAUAUCUGGGAUCGGCGCUUCGACAAAUUGCCCGUGAUUUCCGCAAAGCUGAGUUUGCGCGUGACGGGUGCUGACGAGGCUGAAAAAGACUGGCGCCUCUUCGAUAUCUGGGAUUGGCGCUUUAACAAAUUGCCCAUGAUUUCUGCAAAGCUGAGUUUGCACGUGACGGGUGCUAACGCGUCUGGAAAAGCAAGAUGCUUCUCCGAUUUCUGAGCUUGCCUCUUUGAUUUUUGAAUUGGCCUCUUCGAAUUCUGAGCUCGCCUCUUCGAUCUUUGAAAUCCCAUCGAGUGUUGAUCUUUAUAGAGGCACGCAGUUCGUUUCAAAGCACACUUGAAUUUUCGCUUGUAGAAACUCCCUUCUUGCACUUCUAAGAUCUUGAUUUGUCCGACCUCUUCUUUCUUCAACACCUUUGAAAAUGUCUGGACCCUCCGACCGUCAUUUUGAUUUGAACCUUGGUGAAGAGGUAGUCCCGUCUUCUCCAGAUAACAUAUGACGCCCAUCUUUCAUAUCCCCUACUGGUCCUCUUACCGUUGGGGAUUCGGUGGUGAAGAAUGAUAUGACCGCUGCGGUGGUGGCCCGAAACCUUGUCACUCCCAGAGAUAACAGACUACUUUCCAAACGGUCUGAUGAGUUGGCUGUUAAGGAUUCUCUGGCUCUCAGUGUGCAGUGUGCAGGUUCUGUGUCUAAUAUGGCCCAACGCCUAUUUGCUCGAACCCGUCAAGUUGAAUCAUUGGCGGCUGAAGUGAUGAGUCUCAAACAGGAGAUAUUAGAGGGCUCAAGCAGAGAGAUAAACAGUUGCAUAAGCUCGCACAUAGCUAUGCGACAAACAUGAAGAGGAAGAUUAACCAGAUGCAGGAAUCUGAUGGUCAGAUUUUACUUGAUCAUCAGAGGUUUGUGGGUUUGUUCCAGCAGCAUUUGCCUUCGUCUUCUGGGGCUGUACCGCGUAAUGAAGCUCCAAAUGAUCAACCCUUGGCUCCUCUUCUUCCUGGAGUUCCGCCGAGUGGUGUGGCUUCAAACAGUCAACCUCCGACGCCUCUCAUUUCUGGAGCUCUGCUGAGUGGUGAGGUGGCACCUAAUCGUCCUUGAAGAUCCCCUCUUGUAAAUUUGAUUUGAUUUUUUUUUAAGUAUGUAUAAUGCAAAUUUAUGUAAAAUUUCCAGAAAAAAUAAAUAAAAACGGACUUUAUUUCUCUCAAUGCAUUUGUUUUGUUUUGUUUUUGUUUUUUUUGUUUUUUUGUUUUUGUUUUUUUUGUAAAUACAUAAUAACAUAUGUAUUUAUUUAUUUAUUCUUUUGUAAUAAAAUUGACUUUCUUUAAUAAAACUUUUAUAUUUUUCUUAUUUAUUUUGAUAUGACUGAACUCGAAAUUGAAUGUUCGAGCCGCCUACGUACCCUUCCAAAGAAGAGAUCAAGCCAUAACGUAGUUCAAAUGAGUGAUGAAUUUAAUAGUGAUUUUGAUGAUGAUUUUGCCGUACACAGUUUAUGCUCUUGUGGGCCAGGAGCUUUGGUGUUGCCUUUUAUGCUCGUGCAGACCAGGAGCGUUGAUGUCGCCUUUUAUGCUCGUGUGGGUCAGGAGCGUUGAUGUUGCCUUUUAUGCUCGUGCAGACCAGGAGCUUUGUGCCAUGCAGUUUAGACUCGUGCGGGCAAGGAGCUUUGGUUCGUGCAGUUUAGGCUCAUGCGAACAAGGAGCAUUGGUUCGUGCAGUUUAGGCUCGUGCGAACAAGGAGCAUUGGUGUUGCCUUUUAUGCUCGUGCAGACCAGGAGCUUUGUGCUAUGCAGUUUAGACUCGUGCGGGUGAGGAGAAUUUGUGAAUUUUGUCAAGCACUUUUGGAGAGGCGUUCCUUACAAUCUUCAUAGCAAGGAGCCUUGACCGAGUGAUUGAAGAAGUCUUCGGGAAAGAAGUCGCACAUCGUGAUGGCAACAGACGAUCUUUGUGUCGUAAUUUCAUCAUCUUCAACACGUUCACGUUGCUUUGAAGGUUGACAAGAGCUGCUUUGCCCCCUUUCCGAUUGGCGGACUUGUGGAGGAGACGUAUGCUUCUUGUGCCAUUUCUUAGGAGUGACUUGAGUCCAUCCUUCAAGUUUGCUUGUUUUGGAGGAUGCCCCCGGCGGUUGAGGUGAAAAUUUUGUGUUGAAAGAGCCAGAAGUGAUGGUGGUAUAGUUUGACUUCACCACAUCGUCAAGAUCUAGCUCGAUGAUUCCUUUCUGAGCCCACUUUAUGAUGAGAUCUUUCAGCACAAAGCACUUUUCUGUCGGAUGACUGAUGAAGCGGUGGAAUUUACAGUAUCUUGGACUGUUGGUACGAUUCAUCUCUUCCGGCCAUCUGCACUCAGGCAAACUGAUCACCUUCUUGUCCAACAGGUCAUCCAACAUGGCAACCACAUCAGAGUCAGGGAAUGGAUAAGUCUUCUCUUUAAGCUCCUUCAAAGUGCGUCUACGCAUCUCUUGAUCACGAAAAGCUUCGGUUUGAAUCGUUUUGCCUCGUGUGGAGAUUUUGACGGGAGAUGUGUUGACUGUCAUUGCUUCCUUGGUGGAUUUCCACGUAGCCUUCUCCACCUUUGUCUCAAGAAUUUUGUCGUUCUUGUAGUCGGCGAUCGGUUCCUUCUUCCCAUGAUGGGUGAUGCUCAACUCCAUGUCAUGGGCGUGGGUGGCCAAUUCCUCGAAGGUCCGUGGUUUAAUGCCUUGAAGGAUGUAUUGCAAACCUCAUUGCAUGCCUUGGAUGCACAUCUCGAUUGAAGAGGUCUCCGAGAGCCUAUCUUUGCAGUCGAGGCUUAGAGUGCGCCAUCUGUUGAUGUAGUCAAUGACCGGCUCAUCUUUCCAUUGCUUCAUACUUGUGAGCUCCAACAUGCUUACAGUGCGGCGGGUGUUGUAGAAGCGGUUGAGGAAUUCCCGCUCCAAUUGCUCCCAGCUGUUGAUGGACUCAGGCUCUAGGUCCGUGUACCACUCAAAUGCGUUUCUUUUCAGCGAGCGCAUAAACUGCUUGGCGAAGUAGUCCCCCUCCGUCCCCGCGUUGUUGCAAGUUUUGACGAAAUGUGCAACGUGCUGCUUUGGGUUUCCUUUUCCAUCAAACUGCAUGAACUUUGGUGGUUGAUAUCCCAUCGGCAUCUUUAGGGCAUCAAUCUUCUUUGAAUAAGGCUUUGAGUACAACCCGGAGGUAUUUGAGCUCCCUUCGUACUAUGCCUUGACGGUGCUGGCAAUCAUCUCUUGCAACUGUUGGAUAGAAAGAGAUCCCAUGAGUGCCGCUUCUUGGUCUGGCUCCGGCUUCACAUCGAUUUUCUCCACCGUAGGCUCAUCUUCUGGGUUAGGGUUCUCGCUGUCCUGUGGCUCCAGUUGACUGAUGAGUGCAGCGAUUUGCAAGUCUUUUUCUUCCACAGUUCGGGUUAGCCUUGCGAUUGCUUCAUUCAUUUGAGCCAGUUGUUCUUCGAUGGAGGUAACGCCGAUGGUCAUGACUUGUGCAACCAAUAGACGUGACUUUCCUUUAGACAUCCAAGAUGCUGAAGAAGAACGUCAUUGGUUGUUUUGGGAUGUCAUCUUGUGUGCCUCAGCAACAUGCUUUGGUGCCCCCAGCGAGGUCAGGUUGAUGACAGACUCACACCUUUGAUGCUCCCUUUGCUCUUUUAGCGGCACCAACUUUGAAGUGGCAUGUUAAGGAGCGGUUGUGGUGCUAAUGGAUUGUCCAUUUGCGGCAGAAGUGCUUAGGAUCCUUCCCUCAGUGAUUGCGAGAACGGCUUGUCCCUUGCUUGAUGCCAUUGAUUUUGAGGUGUGUUUGGAUUCCUUAAACGGAGAAAGAUAUGAGAGGUAGAGAUUGUCCCACCGGGCGUGCCAAUUUGUGAACACGAAAAUUUCCUGAAACGAAAGAGACAAGAACAACGUGCACAAAAUAAUAUUUUGGUGUUAAUGGAUUUGUUGGGUUACGAUCUCUUUUAACUUGAUCCUCUGAUUCGAUCUCCGUAAGGUGUUGAUUUAUGGAUGUUUCGUUGAUCUAAGGGCCGUCGAGGCUUGAUCUUGGAUGAACUGUUGGAAGUUUCUUCAAGGGGCCGUGGGCUUGAUCUUUGAAGGUGGAUUUGAGCGGAUCUUCAAGGAGCCGUUGGGGCUUGAUCUUGAGGAUGAGUGUUUCUUCAAGGGCCGUUAAGGCUUGAUCUUGAAUAACGGUGAUGAACGGAUCUUCAAGGGCUUUUGGGCUUGAUCUUGAAGAACGGUUGGAUGUGUGGAUUUGUUGAUGUUGUUGAUCCAAGGGCCGUCGGGGCUUGAUCUUGGAAGAACGAUGAACGAAGAACGAAGAACACUUUCUUCAAAGGCCGUCGGGGCUUGAUCUUGAAUUGGUGAUUGUUGAUCCAAGGGCCGUCGGGGCUUGAUCUUGGAAGAACGGUGAACGAAGAAUGAAGAACGAAGAACACUUUCUUCAAGGGCCGUCGGGGCUUGAUCUUGAAUUGGUGAUUGUUAAUCAAAGGGCCGUCGGGGCUUGAUCUUGGAAGAACGAUGAACGAAGAACGAAGAAGGCUUUCUUGAUUCUUCGGGAUGAACGGAUGAUGAACAAUGAACACUUUCUUCAAGGGCCAUCGGGGCUUGAUCUUGAAUUGGUGGAAGUUCUUCAGGGCCUUUGGGGCUUGAUCUUGAAGGUGGAUGAUUGUUGAUCCAAGGGCCGUCGGGGCUUGAUCUUGGGAUGAACAGUUGUGUGGAUUUGUUGAACACUUUCUUCAAGGGCCGUCGAUGCUUGAUCUUGAAUUGGUGGAAGUUCGUCAAGGGCCGUUGGGGCUUGAUCUUGAAGAAGGAUUUGACGAAGAACGAAGAGAGCUUUCUUGAUCCUUCGGAAUUUGCUUGAAUUUGGGAGGUUGGAUGCUUGAAAGCUUUAGAGUUUCAAAGCUUCAAGGAUUUUGGAUGUGUGGGGAGUAUUCUCUUACAUUUUGGGAGUAGAGAAAUGUAUUUGUGAAUUGGUUUUUGAUACCUUGAUGUAGAAGCCUAUUUAUAGGCUUUGAGAAUGAAUCACCACCACAAAAUAUUUUUUUCUUUUCCAAGCACCAUUGCCUAAUUUCCCACUUAAUACAAUUUUAAACUUGAAGUGGUAAUUUUAUGGCCUAAUUUUCCACUUAAUAUCAUUUUAAACUUGAUAUGUGCAUGCUUUGUCAUUGCCCAAAAUGAGAAGAAAACCUUGUUUUGAUCUUCAAUGGAUUGAAAUGUGCUUUGCCUUGUCAUUGCCCAAAAUGAGAAGAAAAACUUGUGUAAUCCUCCAAGGGUAUUUCUUUUUAUUUUGUUGAGUCACACACCAUGUGUACAAUUUGUAUGACACGUGGCAUAUGCCAUAUAUGCCUUGACACGUCAAAAUUUUAAUGCGUUGGUGAACAUUUAUUUCACCGCAAUUUCGAUGUCUACAAUUUCAUUUCUUGUGAAUAAUGUUUAUCCUGUGUUCUGUCCAAUCGCGUAUUAAAAAAUGUGUGAAGUUUGGAUUAACCACACUCUUUUAGAAUUUCCUUUAUUUACCACUUUUUGAGAAUUUCCAAUAAGACUGGGUGAGUCUCCGCUGAGAAUUUCCUCAACUAACACCACACUACUUGAGGGAUAAUUUGUUAUAUCUUUGAAUAAAGAAUAAAACAGUUUCCUACUUUUGAAGGUACUAUUAACUUACACUAUAUUUGGAUGAAGGUCAAACUUUAUAAAUUGACAUACACCAAAUUCUUUGUUUGGAUUCAUAAACAUAUAAAUUUAGAAUUUCCGCGUGGAAAAAAAAAAUACUUAGAAUUUGAGACCUCCAAUUCUCAAAUUGAAAGUUUAAAAAUAAUAAAUUCCGUAUUCAAUUCAAUUGUUCUUUUAGGUUAACCAAAUAAGAAAAUUCACAAAUUCUAAAAUAUAAAAUCUCAUCAUUUCAAUUUCCGUCAUUUUAAAAUUCCUUAGUAAUAUUAAAUUUCUUCAUCCAAACAUAGUGUUAAGAAAUUUUUUAAAGAUACACUAUUUACACUCAUUUUUAUUUCUUACACAUUUAUUAACUUUGUCCAUUGAUUUCUUCAAUUCAUUUUGCCAGUUAUACAAAAAUUGAGAACAGUAUUUAUGAAUUAAAAAUACAUUUGUAGAUGUCACUACCAAAUUUUUAUUCCUAAUUCAAGAAAAUCUUAUCCAUAUAUGAUUGCCCUUGCCCACUUUAAAUGGGUGCCAUCACUUUACGAUAGAGCAAUCCUAACCGUCCACCUAGGUAAGCAUAACUGGCGAUGCAUGUCGCAAGGGGACCGCAUUGCACAAUAUAAUUAUACUAGUUGAUAAGACAAGUGAUGUCAAUCAAUAAAUUAUUUCAUUAAAACUUAGUUGUAUGUAUCAUAUGUUGUAAUGUAGGGUGUAUGAUAUGCUGACGCUGUAAAAAAAUGUAACCUUUUUAAUAUUACUCAUAAUAGUAAGACUUACCAGUAUUAGGAUGUUAUCAGUGGAAUGAGAAUCCUCUCCAGAUCUUUUUUGUGAGCUAUUAUUUGUAUUUAAUUUUAAAUAUAAAAAAUUAAAAUAAUUUAUGACGGCAGUGAUUCACAUGAUCUUCACAAAGAGAAUCCAAAUAAUCUUAAUUUAUAUCAGUGUGUCUAGAUAACAUGAUCGAGCCCCUUUACUUUUACCCUAUUUAGUAUUUUACAUUUGAACCUGUAAAUAUUCGAUUUUUCUUUGGUGCAACCGAGCACCAAAUAUAGAUUUUUUUUCACUUUUAUAUAAUGAUAAAUAAAGGGCAAUUGGCAGAUUUGAAUUCCAUUCGGAUUGGUCAAAAAUCAUUUUAAAUUGUUUUAUUUAAAAUUAAACACAUAUAGUACUUAAUAAAAAUUAGUCGUACAAUAUACGAUAAACAGAUAUAAUGUAAGGACCUUUAUGAUCUUCACAAAAAAGAUCCAAAGGUUGUGUAGCUGUUUCAAAAGGAUAAUACUCACUUUUGAUUAGUUCAAUGAAAUUUUAAACAUGUUUUAUUGUUUUAAAAAAUAAUAAACAUAUUUAUUAAUGUUUGUUUUACUUUAAAAAAUAAGCAGCACUUGACAACAUUUGAUUGUGCUAAAUAAAAAAUGAGUGACCACUUAGUACUACAGUCUUAUGAUAUUUUUCUUCAUUUGAAAGUGAGAGGUUUUAAGUUCGAAUCUCGUGGAUGACGAAUUUGAUAUCAAAUUAGAUUGCUCACUAUGUGGCUUAGCCGAACUCUCAUUUCCUUUAAUGUAAAAAUAUUGAUGUAUUCAAAAAAAUAAAAAGUGACUAUAGAGGACACUCAAUCUCAGCUGUAUGAUUAAAUCAGACGGUAAGAAAAAUUCUGCAAGCAUACUCGGUUACAUUAAUUGAAGAAAAAAUGGGUAAAUAUUGGGCACCAACGUUAUAAAUACCCUCCACCAUGCACCCAACUCCCUCACACCAUCACAACCCACGUUACAAAUCCUCCUCCUCAUCAUAACCAUUCUGUUUUCCGCAUAAUAUCCAAAAACCUAUCAUGUCUGAAGAGAAACACCACCGCGGUCUCUUCCACCACCACAAGGAUGAAGACAAACCCUCAGACUACCCUCAGUCUGGCUACUCUGAUGAAGGACGUCCCGGCGGCCUCGGUGGUGGUUACGGCGACACCAAUGAUUAUUCUGGUGAAGGACGUACCGGCGGCCUAGGUGGUGGCUAUGGCGACACCAAUGCUUAUUCUGGUGAAGGACGUCCCGGCGGCUAUGGCGGCUAUAACGAGACCACUGCUUACUCUGAGGAAAGAGUUGAAAGACCCGGCGGUGGCCGGUACAGUGAGACUACUGCGGCAUAUGGCAGCACCACCACUCAUGAAUCUGAACUUGAUUACAAGAAGGAGGAGAAGCACCACAAGCAUCUCGAGCACCUCGGCGAGGCCGGUGUAGCUGCUGCCGGCGCUUUUGCCUUGGUACGUAUUGUAUUUUAACCCACCUCUAUAUAUAUAUAUAUUAGAAUAAUGCUAAUAAGACCAAAUUUUGAAAACUAAAUGAUGUGGUUGUUGAUAAUGAACUUAUUACUCAAGUCUUGAUUAACAUGCUUAUUUUCUAAUAGUGACACAUUAUUUGGUUUAGAAAUUUGGUCUUCCUAACUUUAUCAUUCUCAAAAUUUUCAUGAUUUUGAUAGGGUAAUACGGGAGAUCAAAAUUUCUAAACCAAAUUUGCAAACCAAUAGAUGAUUGGAUUAUUAAUUAAGUAUCGAUUGUUUGUUUCUUAUUAACGACAUAUCAUUUGAUUUACAAUUUAGUUAAAAAAAAUUUAUUCUUUCUGUCAUAUCCUUUUGAAUAUUUGAUCACUUUACUCUUUAUCACUUUACCCUUGAUCACUUUACCCAUACUCUUGCAACCGAAUCACCGUCCUCCUCCUUAACCUUCAUUUUUUUGUCUUACAGUACUCCAAUCUAUCAACUCUGUCCAUUGCAACUUUAAUUGUGAAGAAAAUUAAAGUCCUAUCGUAAAAUUAAUUAGUGAUAUGGAGAGUUGCGCAAUUAUUGAUGGACUAGGUAGGUAAGAUACGGAAUCAAAGUCUACCAUUAACAAUGGACGGAAUUGAUGAACCAUAUAGGUAUGUAAGAUACGGAAUCAAAGUCCUCAUGUAAAUGGUACAGUUGCAAUCAGGAGAAGAAAUGAGUUAACUGAUACCUUCGUAAUAGUUCAUGUAGAGUUUUGAUAUUAUUAAGCCUUAACCACCUGAUCUUAUAUAUACGAGGACAAAUCUAAUCAAAUAUGUGUUAAUUUCAAGGUUUGUUUUACAUUGAUGUGAGAUCGAUGCUAGCAAGAUAUAUAACUUAUGUCAGUUUCUAUAUGAUGUGUGUAGCAUGAGAAGCACAAUGAAAAGAAAGACCCAGAGCAUGCCCACAGGCACAAGAUAGAAGAGGAGAUUGCUGCAGCAGCUGCAGUUGGUUCGGGUGGAUUUGCCUUCCAUGAGCAUCAUGAGAAGAAAGAGACAAAGGAAGAAGAGGAAGAGGCUUAUGGAAAGAAGAAGCACCACCACUUCUAGAUCUAUGUGGAUUGUGGAACAUCAUCUUUUGACUACAUAUGCAAUGUUGUGUUUUUACUAGUUAUCAUGUGGUGUGAUCAGUGAGAGUGUGAUGCUUAAUCUCAACAAUAUCGCUACAAUAGUUGAGUGGUUAAAUGUCCUUUUCAAUUAAUGGGUGCUAUCUGGUUUUCUUUUAGCAUGCCAUCUAUGUAUGUAUGUAUGUAUGUAUGUCAUUGUUAUUGUUCAUAAUAAUACUGUUUACUCGGUGUUUAUUUCCUAGUGGCCACAUCUCAUUUUAAAUGAUUUCUUCAUACCAUUAAUUUUUUAAAUGUAAAGACUCAGUAUCCAUAUAACUACGAAAAUUUUUGACAAAACAAAAACAAGAAAAAAGAAAAGGAAAAAAUGGCUUAGCAAGUUUGUAUCCUAUAAGACAAAUGGGUACGUGGAACGAUGGACAUCUCACAAUGGUUUUUGAAUCGUCGGAUCAUCAUGGUUGGACUAUAUAAUUAUCAUUGAUAUAAUAUAAAUUUUGAUUUUUUUUUAGGAAAUUAAUAUCUGAAAACAAUAUUGAUGUACUGCAUUUGUUUUGGACGAUAUUAUACUUUAAUCCAAAUUUUGAGAAAAAAAAAACAUAUCGAACUCAGGUGUACAAGAGUGGCUUUGCUACCCAUGUACAGGGCUAGUUCUGAGUUUUUGGGUGCCCAGUGCGAAAGCUCAAAAUGUGACAUUUUUUAAUACGAAAACAUAUAUUAAAAAAAAUAUUUAAUGAGGGCUGGAACCCAGUCGAAGCUGGAGGGCUAGGACCUCACGCCCAAAUUAUAUUACUUGAGAAAAUAUACAACUGAGGAGGGGACAUGGUACCUAAACCCCGACAAUCAAAAGUACAAUCAUAUACAACCACUCCUAGCAAAUCUCCUUCAAAUUUCAACCUUUAAGAAAUUGUCUUCUGGCAUUUUUUGAAGCAAAAUCAUCAAUUAUAUCAUCAUACUCCAAGUCUUCAAUCUCAUCAUUUUCAAUGCAUAAGAUUGCUAAUCCAUUUAGCCUAUCUUGAGUCAUAGUGGUCCGCAAGUAAGAUUUUAAUAAUUUCAAUUUUGAAAAACUUCUUUUUGCAGAUGCCAUGGUCACAAGUACAGUUAACAGUACACGAUAAGCAAUCAAGACAUUAGGACACAUGUCAGUUUCUUUUACAAAAUUUGCUAUUUCCAUGGAUGUCCAAGGGUUAUUAGAGAGAAAUGCUUCUUCAGGUAAUAUCAUUUGCAAAACCUGCAAUUCGGAAUAUAAGUCAACUCCAUCUACAUCCAUGGUAUUUCCAUGUUUCAAAUGUGCUUCAAGAUUCAUACAAUUUUCUUUUAGCUCUUGAUCAUCCAAUGAAAUUAACUUUGGUGCAUCAAACAAGAAGCCAAAAAUAGAUUCAAAGGAUUUUAACUGUUCAAACUUGUGUUUCAGUUGAGAAAGAGCAAUAUCCACUAUAACAAGAAAAUAAUAUUUCCUAAAUGAUUCUUUAGCAGAUUAUUGUUCCCUCUCAUUACCAUCAACUUCAUCAUGAUGUCUUUUUCUAGGUCUAUGACAUUUAGUUUGAAAAAACAGGGUCAAUUUCCAAAUCAAGUGCAAUUUCAUUAGCAUCACUCAUGGCGGAAGCAAAACCAGUUUCUCUGUAGUUUCCAAAAAAUGUAACAAAUGCUUCAAAUGCCUUUACAGCAACAUCAAGACGCAUGUCUUUAGAUUGUAAUUUUAUGCUCACCAUGUUAAUCUUCAACAAAAUGUCAUACUAAAUAACCAAACUUAAUACAAAAUCAAAACUUGAAAGUUCGCCUGAUGCUAAACAUCUUGCAUCCCUACUUAAUUGAGGAUUUUCAGUAAUUUCCACCAAUUAAACAAAGCAUUUCUAACCUGGGCUACUUGAGACUUAAUUGCUUUAACAUUUUCAAUGUGACUUUCCCAUCGAGUAGUUGACAAUGACUUCAAAGUUAAACCAUCAAUAUGUUCAACCAAAAUAUUCCAACGCUUUGUAGAGUUGGAAAACACCAUAUAUAUGCAUUGACAUGCUCUAAAAAAAGAUUUUGCUUUAAGACAUGAACUUGCCAUAUCACAAACUAUUAAAUUAAGCUAAUGAAAACCACAUGGCAUGUAAAAGGCUAUGGGAUUUAUGUCUAACAAUCUUUUCUGGACAACUUGGUGUUUCCCUCUCAUGUUAGAUCCAUUAUCAUAACCCUGUCCCCUCAUAUCAUCAAUAUCAAGGUCUAAAAUAUCGAUAUUAUCCCGAUAUUUCUUUCGAAAUUUCUGUGUUUUUGGAUUACCGAUAUUUCCGAUAUCAUCGAUAUUUUAGACCUUGAUAGGAACUCUAUGUGAUACUAAGUCACUCAUGUAUCUUACCAUGCAAUGUAUAAAGUGUAAAAUAUUGUAUUAAUUCAUUAUAUAUAAAUGAUUAUGGUGUGUUUAACUUCUUUCAUUAAUUACUACAUAUUUUCUACACUCAAAAUGUUUGUCAGCUCACUAUAUAAUCAACUUAAAUAAGUUAAAUCCAUCAUGAAAUGCAUUUCGUUCCAAUUUUUUGUAAUAAACUAGUAGAUAAUUGACUAAAUAAACAUCCUGCAAAGUUUCAAUAAAAAUUUCCAAGUUUUUCUUAUAAUUUCCGUGGUUUUUAUUCAAUUUUUAUCGAUAUCGAUAAUAUCCCGAUAUUUCCAUCAAAAUUUCCGUAUUUUUGGACUAUCAAUAUUUUCGAUAUCAUUGAUAUUUUAGACCUUGAUCAAUAUCAAGAUCAAGAGAUUUUAGGACAUCUUGCAGCUCGUUAAAAAGCCCUUGUCCUAAUGUAUCUUUCACACUUAAAAACUCCAUGAAAUACUCCCUUAUAUUUAUUGACCUACUUGACAAGUCAACACAUCACAAAAUUAAAGUCAUCUGUUCCACAUGACUUGCAUUAGGAGUACAAUCAAGAAUGACAAAAAAAAAUUUGGCUUCUUUUACUUUUUUAAUGAUUGCGGUUUUGACUUUUGAAGCUAAAGUAGCUAUCAACUCAUUUUUGUUGGAAAUGUGCCCUAAAACCAAUCAUAUGAUGAUACUUUACGAACGUUUCACAUGUUAAACUAAUAUAGUUUAAUAUAAAGGGCAAAAAUUAUUGUUUGUAGCCGUCUCAUAUAAAUGUUAUACGCUUAAACGAUAAGUCCAAGGAAUAUGUAAUUGGGAGAAUGCGAUCUAAAGAAGUUAGAUUCAUGAGACCAUUCUCUUCCGUAUACAUAUCCUAAACGUUACUGAUCAUAGGAUUGUCAAUUGGGCAUUGAUAGUCUGUUAAGAUCAGUACGUGUUAUGUCUUCUCUUAAGGAGAGUGACUGGUCUCGAGUCAUUGGUGUGACUGACACCAAGACAAGCAUGUAGGUGCUCAAUAGAGAAUGAGUCCACUGAACACGAUCAACAAGGAGUUCUCAUACUCAUGUCACAUGAGAACUCGUGGUUGGAAUAAUGCAAAGUAGUCAUUUGACCUGAGGCAUCAUAGUUGUCUUGUGGUUAGGUCCUUGAUCUUUGACUAUGUCAAAGUCACUCCGUCAGAGGGUGUCCAUUGCAUAGUUGGGGUUAAGCCACUUAGCCAUGGAGGCAAGUGAAUGCACAAUAAGGGAUCUCUAACCUUCAAACUAUUUGAGGGAGAAUACUCUAUGAUAUGAUUAAGAAUCUCUGGCCAGAGUAUGAAUGAUAUUUAAGAAGUCGUUCCAAAUCACAUUCAAGGUAAUCAUAUAAGUAAGAGAAUCACAUUGGAUAGUAGACAUGAAUAAACUAUCAAACCAAACAAUGUGGUCAAGAGUAUUGUAUUAGAGUAAGACCGUAUUGCAUUGUAAUCCUAAACUAAAUAGGUUCUCCACCUCUUCUGAUCAGCUUGGGUAACCAUGACAUACUGCUAGGUGUUACUCAUGAUUUGUGGAAGCCCUAAACGUGUAUAAUCACUAAAGGGAGAAUUGAAAGUAAGUUUCAAUUUACAAUCGAUUUGAAAGAGUUCUAAUCGCUCACUGCCUCGCUAAAAGGAACCUAAUGGAUCGUACACCGUGUAAGGUAGAGAUUGAAAAAACAACGGAGAUAAGUAAGGACAAUUAAAUGGUUUAAUUGUUUAUGACAAGAAUUAAUUAAUAUGUUAAUUAAUCAAACGAAUAAGUUCGGGUUAAACCUUGAGUUAGUUUUGGGCAUUAAAGCCCAAAUUGGGCUUCGAAUCUUCAAACCCAUUAGCUUAAGUUGUAUGACAACUUAACAAACAAAAUUCAAGAAGCCCAAAACAGCCCAAAGGCUUGGGAAAACCAGCCAUAUAGAGAGGGGUAGUGAACUUGGCUUAAUUGCAAGUUUGCCAUUCCAUUGUGAGGUGGUAUAAAGGCAACUUUAUAGCCAUUUCAUCCUUAGGGUUUCUUUUGGAGAAAAGAUGAGAACACAAGCUCCCUUUUCUCUCUAAGAGGCUGGCCACCCUAGAGGAUUUUAGCUAGCAAUCUUACUUCCUCUAGGUCACUCAUCUCUUCUUCAAGUCAUUCCUUGGUGUGGAGACUUAGAGGUUCCUUUCAACCAUCUUCAUCCAAGAAAUCCAUGGAGCUAAGAAGCAAGGAAUGAAGGCCCUCGCCUUGGGUGAUUAGCCUUUGCUUAUGCAAAGAGGAAUCAACAAAGGUAUAAAAUUUCUCAACUCACUUUGUUCUUGAGUUGAGUCUUGGUUCACAUAACUACUAGGCUUUGAAUUUCAUGGGUAAUGUUUUGUUUUGAGUGCAUACAAGCAUGAUUCCGCCUUUAAUUGUUAAUUGCAUGCCAUAGAUGUUGCUCAAAUGAACAUGUUUCUCACAAAAUUUCCUUCAAUUUUGAAUUUUAUGGCUCAAAUAGUGAUGAUGAAUCUCUUUAUUCUCAAUAAGUCGAAAAUGCUAUUGCAUUAUUGGAUCAAACUCCGCAUUCAUUUCAAGUAAACCUAAGAAGUUGCCAUUAGAGUCUUCAUAAAGUCUUUCAUUUGUUCCACGAAAUGCUAAAUUACGUAUGGCAAGACAUUUCAUAACAUCAAUAAUUCUAAGCAUCACUUGUUUCCAAUGAUUUGGCUCUUUCUUGAUUUGCAUUUGAAAUUCUUUGUCAAUUGUCUGAUUUUUUGUCAAUCUACUUUUCAACUCAACCCAAGUUCUCGAAUUAAUGAGAUGCUCUUUACUCUUUUCAUAUUGGUCAAGCUUCUUACCAAGAUGUCUCCAAUCACUAGUUCCAUCUUUUGCUAACUCACUUUUUGAGGCAAUUAUUUUAAACAAUUUACAACAAAAGCAAAAGACUUUAUCCAACUCUUUUGAGUACACGAGCCAUUUCCUAUCGUAAAUUUUACCCGUUCGUAAUUUUCGAUCAUAGUAGUGUGAGGAAAAUUUUCUAGAGAAUUUGUCCUUAGGAUAAGUGAAUUAGUUUCUCAAAUUGGUCCUUUUUCUACAAGUAAGUCUCUCAUUUUUGCAUUAAGACCAUCCCAAACUAUUGGAUCAUAAAUGUCUAAAUGAAAAAUAGGUUCAAGAGAUUCAAUAUUUUCUUCUACACCAAAAUGAUCAUCAUCAACAUUUAAAUCCACAUCACCACCAUUUUCAUGAUCUUGAGACUCAUCACCAACAUUUUCCUCUAAAUCACCACAAUUUUCUUGGUCAUGAGACUCGUCAUUAACAUCUUUCUCCACAUAACCACAAAUUUCAUCAUCAUGAGACUCCCCAACAAUAUUUUGUGACUCUUCACCAACAUCAUUUUCUCUCAAAUUUUCAACCGACUCAUUCUUUAUAGAAUUUUUUUUAUUAAGAGAUCCUCUUAAACUUUAGGCAAUUUCGUUAUCCUUUGCCUUUUUUUUCCUUUUCAUAUUACUAGAGAGUUAUUUUCUAAAAGACAUGGCUUUGAUAAUUUGUUUGCAAAAAUUACCUACAUAUGAUAUAACAAAAAUUUCCUAUUAAAAUUAUCAUCAACAAUUCAAAAAUUACCUACACAUGAUAAUCAAGAAUUCAAUUCAUCAACAACAACAAUUCUAUACAUCAAUUAUCAUAUAAUUCUGUCACUUGCAAAAUUUAUAUUAAAUUAUGAAUUAAUAAUUCAAAUUAAAAAAUUAGUUUACCUCAAAACUCAAAAGGGUUGUUGAAUGCAAGGACUUGUGGGCCUGUGGCUGUCGGGUUUGGAAGCUGUAGCCUGCAGCAGCGCAACAAAUUAUCAGACGGUAAGGGCUAGGGCAGUGGGGUAACAAUGGGGUGGGGAAUCGGGAAAAAGGGGAACUUAGGGUUAAUUGGGGGGGGGGGGGGCGGGGACGAGUGGUCCCCUUGUGUUGUUAUUUUUUAUUUUUUUAAUGGCCAAAACCUGGGCUGGUCUUUUUUUUUUAAUUUUUUUAUUAUUUAUAAAUGCCCAAAACCUGGGCCGUUCCCUUCAUUUUCAAACUUGGGCCUCUUGCCCUCUAGUUCUUAUUUUGGGCUCUGGACAAAUUUUUUUUAUACCUAAUUAUUUGGACUUUUUUUUUGGUGCCCCUUUCAAUUUUGGGCCUUGGAAUGGCCCUGGUUGCACUGGGCCUGGGCCGGGCCUGCCCAUGUAUAUGUUAUCUUGUGAUUUGACAAGUCAUAUGUAUAUCAUAUCAAUUUUAUCUCAAUUGUGGUGAUGGUACAUAAUACUUACUACAUCGUAUGGCAACAAAUAAAUAUGGGCAUAAAGAUAAAUAGAAUGGUAUCAGUAAAUUAAGGUCUUCACAUUACGAUUAUAUUUAUCUCUAUUUUUAGUGGAAAGUUUUAAGGAUAAUUUUUUUUCUGCCUCCUACAUGGGUCUCGAUUCUCCUCUACGGUAAAAAUCCGUAUGUUUUAAAUAUUGAAAAGUUAAUUUAGCCCAAAUCCUUGCCUAUUUUAGGGAAAAUAAAAAAAAUUCAUUUUUAACCCUUUGAUUACUUAUAUCACCUAGUAUAACCUUUUUUUUUGUGUGAUACAAACAAAUAUUUUUGUUUGGGCCCAAAAUAUUAUUUUAGGCUGAGCUUAGGUCAUUCUCGGCCUAGUGGCAUUCAUUUAGAAUUUUGUUAUGGGCCGUCCAGUUAAGGUCAGCCGAAUCCUAUUAUGAAAAGGUUUGGUUUGGAUAAGGGUGAGUUGGUCGAUACUAGUGCAACAAGGAUUCUGAAGACUAAGGACAUUGAGAAUUAAAGGGUGAAUUUGGUUUGUUAAGAAGCUUGGUUCAAAGUCCUACAGGAAUUAGGAUUGGUUGAAACCUGAUCGGAUUGGGUUGAGGAGUUCUAAUCCUAGUCCAUUUCUAGUUCGGCUAUGAGGGGAUUCAUUAUUAUAAAUAGAGAAGGGAGUGCAUCAUUCAAAGCCCCUCCAAUUCAACACACAAAUUGCCUUGUGCAAAGCUUCUCAACAACCUUUGAGAUUUUAUCCACUUCCUCUUUCUUUUGCCAACACAUCUUCAGUUUGGAUAAAUAGCACUGUGAAGGCAACCGUCGACAUCUUCAGUUUGGAUAGACUGCACUAGAGCCGUAAAAUUAGCCGACCAAGGAGCACCUUUAGUUUGGAUGGACAACACUGCUUUGAGGCCGACUGGCUAUUUAUUCAAGUCUCGGCUGAGAAGGAUUUUCAAAUCCUUGUUGGUAGAGGUCAUCUCGUCAGCCUUCUCGGCAAAGUGAGGUGUUACAGGUUUCUGGGCUCGGCACAUUGAACGUUGAGUUUUGUUUUAUGAUUAGAUACUCACAAGUAAGUUUUAGAGUUUGGCAUUCCGAUGGCCGAAUCACAUUUACAAUCAAGAUAUAUAUUUCUUUCGAGUAUUUGUGUCUGUAUAGUUUGGUACCAGUUCGGCAUGCUUAUACUCUCACGAAUAUAAUCACUAUGAUCGAACCUGAUGCCGAUGAUUUGUGAACUUCAUAGAACUAGCAACCUUGUCUUCAGGCAUUAUAAUCCAAAGGCCGAGACAUGUUCCUUCAUCGAUCGCAGUCGUAAGAUCGAGAAGUCAGCAGCGCGCCCAACGAGACAUCAACACAUUCUAUUCCUCGACCGAGUUGGCACGCCCUGCACAUAACUGAAGGACGUAGUUAGCUUAUUAGUUACUCAGCCUAUGCGUCACGUAGGCUUCAUAGUUUUUAGUGUCAACAUUUUGGCAUGCCCAGUGGAACCCAGUGUUAAAGCUACGAAGUUCAUGACCAUUGAGACACGGUCAGUAAAAAAGAAACCAGUAAUGGGAAAGUUGACAACUAAUCUUCCAGUCUAAAACUCAUGACAAGAUGGGUUGUUAUAGACACAGAUUCAUGCUGCUGCCAUGACACCUGAAGCCACAAGUGCGACAUGCCGAGAAAAGGAAGUGAAUCUUGGCAAUCAGCCUUGUGGUGCAGAAAUCCCCACCAAAACGACAAAAGGCAUUUUUGUUGAAGGAAUAGUGGAUGAUUAUGACGAGGACGGUGGUAAGGCCUCUGAUCCACCAACCAGGUCGUUUUUUCGACGACGACUUGAAGAGUAAUCUUGACAACUUGAGCAGAUGUUCAGCCGAGAGAUAAAAAAACAUAUUUAAAGAAAUGCGUGAUAAUAUCGCUGUACAUAAUUUAUUGCUCGAAGUUCUGGUUAGUAAAGUCCAUGACAUUGGACCCACCAAUCGAUCCAGGCAUCAUUUUUUCAGGAAUAACCCACUACCAAUAGUACAGGUCGAGACAUAAUCCACUUGGCUCAAAAUGAUUAACUUACAGAAAAGUGGUGGGUUAAUCAGCAGAUCAAACGGAUUCGACCAGAGAGCGGAAACGACAUAUGUUGAUAUGGUUGAAGUUUAGAGAAUGAUUGAUUCGGCCUUGAAAAAUGGGCCAAAGUUUCCAAAAUUCAUUCACCCAUAUCCUGCCUUUGUAGAAAAGUUUGAGUACCCAAAGGGGUUCAAGAUCUCUGACUUCAGCCUUUUCGUUGAAGAGUCGUCCCUAUUGUCAUUAAACACGUGGCUCAAUUCACUGCUCAAUGUGGGGACGUUAACAGUGAUUUCCAUAAGCUACGAUUGUUCAAUUUCUCGUUAACCAGCUCAGCAUUCGCAUAUUAUAUCAACCUCUCACCCAACUCUAUCCAAAGUCAGGAGGAACUGGUCGAGAAAUUUCAUGAGCAAUUCUAUCGACUGGGGAUGGACGUAUUAGUAUCUUCUUGGGCUAGGAUGGCUCAAGCCUCUGAUGAGUCACCAAUGGAAUACUUUACAAGGUUUAAGUUGGCCAGAAAUUGGUGUCGAGUACCUCUUCCUGAAGUCGAGUAGGCUUGCCCUGAAUGGCUUAGACGUGGAGUACAAGAAGAAAUUCUUAAGGGCAUACUUUCGAGAUAUGUACGAAUUGGCUCAGCAUGUCGAGCAAUAUGAUUAUUUUCUCUGAGAGGAAAAGAUCUCGAAGUUUUCAUCCCGAGGAACGAUCUACAAGAACUUUACGGUUAGCUAUGCAUCGGCCAAAGGCGAGGAGUCCCAAUAUGCUAGUAUAGACGUGGCCAAGAUAUUAAUCGACAAACUGUACAUAUGUAAAACAUUGGCUCAUGCUACCUGUUCAGCCUUUGAGGAAGCUGCCGUCAAAACGUUAAAAGUCUAUACUUUCGACAUCACUAAGGCUGAUGCCAUCUUUGACCAGUUAUUGCUUGCAAAAAUUGUCAAGCUUCAGCCAGGGCAUAAUAUUCCAAAGGUCAAGGACUUAAAAGGAAAGACAUAUUACAAAUACCACAACUCGAACAAGCAUACGACAAACAACUGUGUCGUAUUUCGCGAUGCCAUUCGAAACUGGAUAGAUAACGGUAAGCUUAAAUUUCCUGAGAAACCAAUGGUCAUUGACACCAAUCCUUUCCCUAUGACAACGGUAAGCAUGGUAGAUGCUCACCUACACAAGGAUAAGAGAAAAGGAAAAGCCGAGUUCAUCCCAACGCAAUACGUCCCUAAGCAGAAUUCUCGAUCACAAUUGAAAGUCAAUCUAUCCUUGGGUGAGCCACCCAGAUACUUUUCAAACCCAACUAAUACCGAGUCAAUAUCAAACUCCAGCACGGGAGAAAGUGACAUGCCAAUGGUUUUAUGCAGUUGGUGUAAAUCAAACGUCAUCAUAACUAAGCUGAAGGAAAAGCCACUUCGGACUGAAGCACCACUAACGCCUGUAGUUGUAGCAACACCUCAAAAAGUGCUUGGUACAGACCAACACCAUAAAGUUUUUGAUAGGCUCAGCCCUCAAACACGGAAUGACGGCCCGUCUUCGGCCCGAUAAUGACUUAAUUUCGACGUUUCGUUUUAUAAUGAAGAGUAUUAUGUGUGCAACUCCAGCAACUCGAGUUCAUCCGCGAACCAAAGAAACUUCAAGUCACCUGAGCCAUGCGACUAGUGUUGGUAUACCUACAAUUCCCUACCGAUGUAUAUAUUGCAUUGUCCAAAUCGUAGAAACAUCAGCGCCAAAUAAUGGACUAUAUGGCUCGCCAAUGAGCAGCCCAGACUACCUCGGUCACCAAGUGGCAACUGAAAGAAACGGUAGAUAACGAAGAUGAUUGACAACCUUCGGCCAUCAUGGUUGAGUUGCUUCAAGGAAAGAAAGUGAUCGAUCGUGACUUUGAAACCAUGAUUGAAGAAUCUGAAAAGUGAAUCAAACUCUUUCUUCGGCCUAGGGAGAUGAAAGCUUGCCUCGAGCACUUUCGGAAAGAAGUUGAAAACAAACUUCCUUUACUACCCUCGCAAGAGCCAUUAAUUAAAGUUCGAAGGAAUCUUCACCCGCCAUUUCUUAACAAAGCUUUAGAAUACAUGCAAGAGUUCCAUAUAAAAACAUUCAGCUAAUGGUUAAUAUUGCAUGCCAAAAGCAUGCCAAGAGGCUCUUGAUCUAGUAUUAACUUGCCCCGAUGCCGAACAAAUCAUCCAAAAGACCAUGGAUCAGAGGAUGAAGGCUAGAAUCCAGCAUAUACUCGAGGCUUGAGUUCUCUACUUUGAGGUAGACCCAUAUACUGAUAUCGAUCCAACCGACCUUCCUUUCUCCCUUAAGGACCUCCAAUAUUUACUGUAUCAUUUUGAAAUUUUCUCGGCAGUUGCCCUCUUUAAUCUUACGACUGAUGAGAAAGAACGUAUGGCGUGAUUAGAUGCUUACUUAGACACAAGAGACGCCCGCAUCGUAUAUCAGGAGCGGACUCACAAGGCUUCACAAGAGCAACACCAAGUCCCCACGUUGAGCGAGCCUAAAGUUGAUGGUCAGAACGAAAUGGGUUUGGUGGAUGCACUGUAGGGACGGGUUCUCUUAGCUGCCGGAGAGGAUCAGCCAGAUAAUGCCCAUAAGCAAAAUACUUCGCCUGAAAAUCUAGAAGACAAAGAUCACGACCCAAUGGGUUCUUCGGUCCUUGAUAACACGGAAAUCAACAUGGUCCAUGUCUUACCUGCCGAGUUCUAGCUAAUUACAUCUCAACCAAACUUUAUGGACGACGUCAAAGUCGCCGAGGAAGCCGCACAAGUCGAUUUUUUGGCCACCGAAGAGAUCGAGCAAGUAAGCAAAGAAGAUAAACUUAAGGCAGCUCUUGCCAAUUUGUUCCCCCGCUAUUCGUCAGUUAAUUUUCAUCAUUUAAAGCCAUUGUAUGUUAUAGCUCGUAUUGAAGGAUAUCUGGUUUCUAAAAUUUUUGUCGACUACGAAGCAACGGUCAACAUCAUGCCCGUUUCUAUCAUGAAGGCAUUACGUCGCUUUAGCAACGAACUCAUUCCAUUAGGGGUAACCAUGAGCAGCUUUGUCGAUGACAAGUCCUAAACCAAAGGAGUGCUUCUUUUAGAGGUAAAUAUCGCAUGUCGCAAUCACAUGACCGAGUUUCUCAUAGUUGAUUUAAAGACUGAGUAUAAUUCCUUGCUUGGUUGUGAUUGGAUCCACCAAACAAGCUGUAUCCCUUCGUCAUUAUAUCAAGUCUCAUCUUUUGGGAUGACAAAUCAGUCGUGGUUCAUCCAGCCAACAAUCAGUUGUUUGAAGCUAAUAUAAUUUAGGCUCGUUAUUACAAUGAUCACAUCGGCUACAUCACCAUAUAAGGUUUUAAAGGGGAAGGACGGCCAACUUGAAUCUUAAUUUAGAAAGCCAUUGAGGUUGGAAAACAUUGUGACAAGAUUCGGCGUACCAAAAAUAAUUAUAACAGAUAACGGCAUAAUUUUUACAGCCGACAAGUUUAAAGAAUACGCAGCGAGUCUAAAAAUUCAGCUCAAUUAGUCCACGCCAUAUUACCCAUAAUCAAAUGGACAGAUCGGAGCAAGUAAUAAAGUUUUAAUCGGUAUACUUGACAAAAUGAUAAAAGAAAAGCCUGGUAUGUGGCAUUUGAAGUUAAACGAGGCAUUAUGGGCAUAUCGAACUUCACUCUGAUCAGCAACAGGGAUGACCCCAUAUGCGUUGACUUAUGGGCACGACGCGAUGCUACCGGUCGAGCUAAGCAUAAACUCGUUAUGAGUUAUCGAACAAAGUAGUUUAUUCAGUGCCGAGUACAGUCAGGCCAUGAGGUAAGAGUUGGAGGACUUGGAGGAAGCUCGGCUCGAUGCCUAUAACUUACUGGUGGUGCAUAAAAAGAUUACCGAACGAGCUUAUAAUCGAUGAGUUAGGCAAAAGACGUUCGGUGAAGGUGAAUUAGUAUGGCAAACCAUGUUACCAGUAGGGAUUAAAGACCUUAGAUUUGGGAAAUGGUUGCUGAAUUGGGAAGGACCAUUCGUCAUCCACAAGGUUCUUGGCAAGGGGGAAUACCACUUGAAAAAGUAUUAUUCGAUUACUUGGGAAAUGCAAGAAUAAAGAAUUUAUUUCAUUGAUUUUCAAAGGACAUUUACAAGCAAAAUUACAAAGAGUCGAUCGGCCUACAACUACAACUAAAGACAAAAGUCCUAAAGAGUCGAAGGAAGAAAAGCUUCAAAAGUGGCUUUCAGUUCUAGCCAUCUUACUUCGCCCAUCGUGACCUCAGCCUGUCUUGUUCUUUUGUCAAGUUGUAGUUGAUGUAUCUGCUUCGAGCUAGCUGCAUACUCUGCCAGUCGAGGUUUAUUCGAAUUGAAAUCUAUUUCAAGCUCGGAAGCAACGGCUGACCUUUGACGUGGAAGUUUAGUGAUUUGGCGGUCAAGAUCGGCCAGCCGCUCACUCUUUGCUUUUAUGGCCUCGAGCUCUGGUCGGAUAGCUUCAUGAACGACCAUUGAAGCCUUGAGGUCAUCUUCUGCCUAAAGAGCCCCAUCAAAAAUAGCGAAGUAUUGUCGGGUUCGUUUUAGGAUAUAAGAUAGGUGAACGACAUUCUCAUUGCUUAGAAUGCCAUCGUUUACAAGGUCGUUCAUACAUUCUUCUAUAGAAUCGAGGCCUUUGUAUUCAAGGAUUUGCAUGGCUGAGAUAGACAAAAGCUCAUGCAGCUUGGCGAAGACACUGGACACGGCCGCGAUUGCAAAAGACUAGAUCGCGGUUGUUGAAGGCCUAGUCACCCCAGAAGUGUUUGAGAGGAGGGUGUCAAGCUUGACUUUCCAUGAAGGCUGCAUAAAAAGAGUUGUUAGAAAAGAGAAGUUAAAAGGACGGUAGAUAAGGACGUUGUGUUAGACCUACCGAGAAAAGACUUCGGCCAUGUCUGUUGGUUCGUUACUCGAACCGAGAGAGCUUAAUGGCCGAGCCUAGUGUUUAAGGCAACCUUUUAAUUCAUGUGGCCGAUAAAGGUUAUCUAUGUUUGAUGGCUAUUGGGAUGGCCAAGAAAUAUAAAUAACGCCAUUUGGCGCAUAGAAUUUUUGGAGAAAUGAGUAAUUAGGCACCUGGCAGUUAAUAUUUUCUUGGUUUAGAAUUCUAAAGCAAAAAAUUAAUAAAAGAAAAUGAUGACGAGUCUUACAAAGGUCGAAGUAACCUCCUGAAGAGGAAUGUCGAAAUUCUGGUCUUGAGGAUGAACCAACGUCUUUACCAUUGCUUCUGCCUCGACAGGAGGCACCGCUUCAUGUCCUGCACCUAUUUCAGUUGCAAAAGUGUCGACCUGGCCAGCCAUCUCAACUAUCGGUUGAGGAUUGGUGGUUGGUAGUUCAGCUGGUUGAGAGCGCCUCACCAACGGGGGUACUUCAUUCUCGUCAUCCUAUACAUAAAAGAGGAUUGGUCGUUAGUUGAGAGAUAUAGUCAAAAUAAAAGGAGAACAUUAGUAAAAAUGGUCAUACCUAUUCUUCCACAAUGAUUAUUGGAGUCUUCUUUAGAUUUGGCGGAGGGUUUCUCUCGGCUGUGGUGGCCUCAUUCUCCAAAGCAGUAGCUGCCACGCUAACACCAAGAAUAACGGCCGGCCUCGGGGUUGGAAAACCCUUGACUAAUGGGUUGAUGAUGGGUUCAACAACAGCCAGCAUAAUGGGUUGGAUCUUAGUUGAUUGAUCUGUCAGAGGAUUUUGCGGUACUCCAAUCGAGGCCUGGACGACAUGAGAAUGGAGAAGGGCACUAGGAGUGGUUGUUCCCGUGGUUUGACUCGAAAUGACAUAUAUCUCCCGUUCUUCAUUCUUUUCCUUUUUCUUGAGGCACUUUUGGGACCGGGCAAUGUUGCCAGUCGUCUCGACCUUUGGGCGAGGCCGUUUGCUCGGUGCGGUCGGUGCAAUAGGGGCUGCUGCAGAAGUUGGUUUGACUGAAGGAUGAGCGAGUUUCUUUUUAGUCGCGACCAUCGUAACCACAUUGACUCGUUUUAUGGCACGACCACUUGGAAAAACUGAGUUUAAGUCAGAACGAUGUUCAAAUUGAAUAAACAAACAAGGGAAGUAAAAGAUAUAUACCUUUAGUUGUUUCUUUGGAUUUUGGGACGAGUCUUCCUCGGUCGGUCGUCGAAAAGCUUCUUUGAAAUUUCCUCGACUGAAGUACUGAAGAAGUCCUUGACGUAAGCAUCUCACCAAUCGGCGAAGAUGCUAAUGCAAUGGGUUUUUGGGGUAAUCAGCCGAAGAUAGAAAUUGGUGCAUCGCUCUAAGAAUUCCCUCUCGGAUUCAUCACAUUCCCUUUAUGAGGAGCUGAAGAGGCGUUCUCGGCUCAAGGGUGAGCGGGAAGUGAGGAGUGGCAUAGGAUAGGCCUGGACAUAGCUCAGUGGAUAGGCCAUGAAGUCAGGAUGGCAAAUCUCCUAGCUGGCCCAUCGAGCAUCACAACCAAAUGGAAUGUCACGAGCUAGAACAAAUGAUCCAUAUGAUUGUCGGAGAUCAGCGUCUUCUGCUUCUUCCCACACCAAUGUAGGGAGCCUGAUGGAAGACAAAUAUUUCUGGCGGUGGCAGACCAGAAACUCGUCGUUCAACAAGUCUUCAAGGUCGAAGAAGUACUUGAAGACAUCUUCGGCCAAUGGGCAGGAGUAGGGUGUGAGGACAGUUGAAGGCUCAUUGCUUUGGAAGAAUUGAAGUGUAGGAUUUUUGGCCUCAAUGUGUAGAAGUAAACCUGCAACCAUAGUUGAAAGACUCAAAGUGGGCCGUUCUGGUGUGGGUUGAUUUUCCCGACGGAAACCUCAGCCAAGCAUCGAGAAAGGUUGGCAAUGAUGGUCGAGCUGAAGGGCAGGACGUGGCCACUAGCUAGCGCUUCAGCCACUAGCACAUUCUUGGCCAGGCACUUGUACGACUUGGUACAAAAGAUGAACUUAUUGUACUACUAGAACGAGAAGGUCUCGUGUUCCCCCUUCUUGAGAGCUUCCCCCUCCGAGCCAGCGAAGUGGGUGAUCAGGGUGCUAUAAUUGAAGAAGUUCUUGUGCAGCUUAUAUACAUCUUUUUUUCAACGGCUCCUGACCAUCCUUCAUCAAAGCUUCGACGACAUGUUCGUCAAAGACCGCCUUUAGAUCUAGGUCGAAUUGAUAUCGAAAAAGGGUGGUAUCAACUGAAAGACCAGAAAGGGGAGUGCCAAGUAUAGCCGUGACAUCCAGCAUUGUUGGGCCAAUGGGGCCAAGAGGAAGGACCAUAAUGUUGGUGGCCAAACACUAGAAACUCAGGGUGGCCAUUAGGAGUUCUCGAUCCAUGUUGAUCUCAAUGGUUGAUAGCUUAAUGGCAUCAAAGUUACUGAGAAUCUUCCAAUCGCCCCUGAAGUGUGGCUCCAUCCGGGUAGGGGUGGGUACUUGGAAUCAAAAAUCAAAACCGAAACACGAAUCGAAUCAGACCGCACCGAACAGUUUGGUUUUGUGAUUUUGAAACGGUUACGGUUUCAAAACCAAACCGCAGCAAAGAAAACGAUUUGGUUUCGGUUUUGGGGUUUCAAAACCGCACCGAAACCAAAACCGAAAUCGAAACCGCACCAUAUAUUGAAUAUUGAAUGUUAUGUUUUAAUCUAUUGUUUUGUGCAGCUCCAAUCUGAGUUUUUCAUGGCAGUAGGGCUCCCAGGCUCACAUUGCUCUCAUAAUCACUUUGCUUGUUAUGUGUAGCCCCAUUGCAGUAAAUUUUAAUACCGCGGGGCUCCUAUACAAUCUGUGAUACAAACCAACAUGAUAUUCUUAAAUUAGUAAUAAAAUUGACAACGAAUUUUUCUUACUUUGAUGAGAUAUGUAUGAAAUAUUCUGGGAAAAAAUGUACAUGCUAACUCUUGGAUAAUAACUACAAUGAGCGAUGGAAAAUACAUCCAUUUGUAUGCCAUUUAUUACCAAGGAAGUUGCAGAUAAUCGAGGCUAACAUUCUCAAGAGAAUGCUAAGUUGGUAACACAACAGGAAGUAGGUGGGAAAGAAAUACUUACCAGCUAGAGUAAGUCCCUAGGUGGACAAGGCAUAGAAUAAAUUGUACAUUUUUUUUCUCAAAAACCAAACCAAAACCGUUUGAAACCACACCGAACUGAACCAAACGGUUUGGUUUCAUUUUGGUUUUGGCUUCAAAACCGCACCGAACUGCACCGCAAAGAGUUUCGGUUUCGGUUGCGGUUUCACUUGAAACCGCACCGAACCGUACCGUGCCCACCCUUACAUCCGAGUGACCCAAGCAGCCCAGACCGUGAGGGUUGAUGGCCAACUCCCUAGGGUUUGGUCAAUUCCCACUUCGACCAAUCGUAUCCUUGAAAUAGGGGUUCAAGGCAAUGCGUCUUCAACAUCUUGGUGAUUGAUUCUGGGAUGUUUUCCUUGAAAAGUGGUCCCAGAGUUUGGUGGAAAACACUUGAAUCAUCCUCACACCGGAGGGAUUCGAUGGCAUUCUGGUUAAUAAAGUCUCAACAGUUGUCGCAUUCCUCGGCGAGCUUGGUGAUAUGUUAGAGGUUUAUUUUGCUUCUUCAAGGUUGACGCUCAGCUUAGAUUUGUAGGCCGAAUACCUUAGAAGCGAGGGGGCAAUGUUUGGGCCCAAAAUAUUAUUUUGGGCCGAGCUUAGGUCAUUCUCGGCCUAAUGGCAUUCAUUUAGAAUCUUGUUAUGGGCCAUCUAGUUAAGGUCAGCCGAAUCCUAUUACGAAAAGGUUUGGUUUGGAUAAGGGUGAGUUGGUUGAAUCCUAGUGCAACAAAGAUUCUUAAAGCUAAGGACACUGAGAAUUAGGGGGUGAAUCUGGUUUGUUAAGAAGCUUGGUUCAAAGCCUACAGGAAUUAAGAUUGGUUGAAACUUGAUCGGAUUGGGUUGAGGAGUUCUAAUCCUAGUCCAUUUCUAGUUUGGCCAUGAGAGGAUUCGCUAUUAUAAAUAGAGGAGAUAGUGCAUCAUUCAAAGCUCCUCCAAUUCAACACACAAAUUGCCUUGUGCAAAGCUUCUCAACAACCUUUGAGAUUUUAUCCCCUUCCCCUUUCUUUUACCAACACAUCUUCAGUUUGGAUAAACAGUACUGUGAAGGCAACCGAUGACAUCUUCAGUUUGGAUAGACAACACUGUAGCCGUAUAAUUAGCCGACCGAGGAGCACUUUCAGUUUGGAUAGACAACACUGCUUCGAAGCCGACUGGUAAUUUAUCCAAGUCUCGGCUGAUAAGGAUUUUCGAAACCUUGUUAGCAGAGGUCAUCUCAUUAGCCUUCUCGGCGAAGUAAGGUGUUACAUGUUUCUAGGCUUGGCACAUUGAACGUCGAGUUUUGUUUUAUGAUUGGAUACUCGUAAGUAAGUUUCAGAGUUCAGCAUUCCGAUAGCCGAACCACAUUUAAAAUCAAGACAUAUAUUUCUUUCGAGUGGGCAUGCCCCACGCAUAACUAAAGGACGUAGUUAGCUUAUUAGUUACUCGGCCUGCGCGCCACGUAAACUUGAUAGUUUUUAGGGUCAACAACUUUCAUUUUUUCAUUCCCAACCUACCCUGAAUUUAAAAAUGGAUAGAAACAUAAUUUUUAGGCCAACUUUUACUUAAUUUGUUGCUCUUUGCUUUGCCACUUUUAUGCCAAGUUCUUCUUCUUCUUUUUUGUCGAUAUGCUAAGUUCUUCUUCUUCAUCUUCGUCACUUUUUAUUCUUCCAUUUGUUCGUGUUAUACUUCUAUCUUAUAUGUUGGAAUAAAUUAUGUUGAAACUAAAUUCACGCAGUGCCAUAGAAGGUAAAGACACACAAAUUCGAGUAAUCUGUAAAAGAACAAACAACCAUGAGCUAACAAAAAACUAGGGGUGUGCCAGUCAAAGGCUCUCCGAUGGUCAAGUUAGUAAGCAAUAUAAAAUUAAAGAAGUAGACAAGAAAGUAAGUAUGCGAUAAUUGUGUUACCAGAGAAAAUCCUAGAAUGAUGUAUUUAUACUAGUUGAGGAUGGGAUGUUUUAGAAUAGUAGAAUUUGUAUUAAAUCGGGAGAAUCCUAGAGGAUAUCUAGAGAUAGAUAUUGCAUCCUCUUAGGAGUGUGAUUACUUACCGCACACGUCAAUCUUUUGAUUGUAAGGACUCCAAGAUUAAUUAUAAGAAACUUGCUGAUUUCUUGCUGGAUUUUGUUUCCAUAUCUUAUGGAAAAAGGUUAGUCUCAUCGAAAUCAUCAGACUUCACCCACUGAUUUCGGAACAGGAUGAUGGUGGCAUCGCUGCUUCGUAUGUUUAGCUCCGCAUCGGAAGCUGUAGAGUCCAUGACCAAAUAUUCGUAUUCCGAUCCACCUUACUCUGGCCCUGAAAAGUCAUAGUCCAACAAUUUAUAUUGAAAUUUGUCAUGGUGAUAACUUAACUACAUGUAAUACAUAUUCCUUUCGCUUGUACAUGUCUUAAAAUUUGCCAAAUGCUUAUAUGUCUUUGCCUUUCCUUUUGUAUAAUUGGUUGGGUAUUUUUAAUUGUAGGAAGAUAGUAAUAUUUUCAUACGUAUAAUUGUUUCAUAUCUCUUUUAUAGGUAAAUGAAGAUGUUAAUUAAUCAAAUAUUUUUCGUAUAUAUAGAAUUGUAUUAUAUAUUGUUUCUCCCCAAAAAAAAAGUGCUUUAGAUAUCAUUAUCAUAGGUAAGUAACCGUAUAUAAUUAGAAAUUUAAAUCUAUAUUUAUUAUCAAAGUCAAAAUAGUCAUACAACUAAAAAAUAAAUGCACAAAUUGGGUUAAAGUUGACCACACACACACAUACACACGCGCGCGCACACACACAUAUAUAAUAUGUUUGUGUGUUUGUUUGUUUUCUAUAUGUAGAGCUUAAUUAAUUAGGUUUGCAUGGUAUACAUAGUAUCCAAGCUAUGUAGCUAUCUUAUUUUUUUUUUUAUAAAAGUUAGCCUGCAUGAUUUCUAAUCCAUCAAUGUUUCUUUGUAGUUGGAGGUGUUCUAUUUCAUGCAUGCAAUAGUAGGAGCUGUCGCUUGGUAAAAUUAACAAGGGGUUUUUGAACUUUAAUUCUUGAAGAAGAUUAAAAUUUAAUAAAAAUUUAGUGUUAUAUUGAAUAUUGAUUUUAGUCUAUUAAUAUGUAUUUAAUUCAAAUUCAUAUUAUAUUUUUGUUUUUAUAUUUAACAGAUAACUUAUUUAAUGUUAUUACAUUAAAUUUUAUUUAACUUUCUCUAAUUAGUGUACCUAAACGUCUGUAUCAUAAUAUACUUUACUAAAUUAAUGUACCAAAAUGCCCGUACCAAAAUAUAUUGUAGUGAAUUAGUGACACAUAAGAAAAUAUGUAAAAACAUAAGUGUACAGAAAAUUCCGUACCUAACUAUAUGAUACUAAACUAGUGUACCAAAAUGUCGGUACCUAAAUAUAUUAUACUAAACUAGUGUACCGAAAUGUUCGCACCUAAAUAUAUUGUAAUGAAUUAGUGGCAGAUAAGAAAAUAUGCAAAACAUAAGUGUAAUGAAAAAUCUCUAUGAAAAAUAUUUUCUUAUAUAAGAUGCUUACCAUUAGAUGAUUCCACUAAAUGAUGCCUAUAUAUCCUCGAAUCUUACUUUUCCACUCCACUACAAACUUUCAUUGUCAAAACAAAAAAAAAAAACUCCCAACUUUUUAUACGCACUUAUUUCAAAAUUUUGCCUCUCUUUUGAAUCUUUUAUCAUGGCUUUUUCAAGCAAGAAGUCUAAACCAAUUAAGCUUUCCCCCUAUAAUCUUCCUUUGACAAGAGUUCGUAAUCGAGAAGAAGGUGAGUCUUUCAUUAAAGAGCACCAUGACAUUUUGGACGACUGUAACGUCUGGUGGGAACCUGGUCAUGAUAUCUAUGCUAAUCUGCACCGUUGUUUAGUCCUUGCUGUCUUUGUACUAGAAUCUACCCUUGGUUCUUGGACUUUGGUCUUCGUUUCCCUCUUUCUGCUUUUAUGAAAGCCAUUUUGUUAUGCUAUGAUAUAGCCAUCUGAAACCUCUCUUUUACCGCCUUCAAGCUUUUCACUUGCUUCGAGUUGUUGAAUUAGUGGUUCGGGGCUAAGUUGGAUAUCCCAGAGUUUAAAUGUUGCAUAGCUUCAAACCGAGUUUGGAUGACCAUUAUUAUUUUGCUGCUAUAACUAGUUUGGAUUAGGAGACAUACAUCAAGACACCCCUAAUCACCACAAGGAUUGGUUCAAAGACAUACUAAUUGUUAACGGAGCUUAGGAGGGAGAUAUUAGCGGACUCCAGAUCCGGAUUGAUCCUCCGACCGUUUAUCGCAAUUGGAAAUGGUUGUUCUCUACUGAGCACUUGAACAACCGUAAGAAGAUAUAGACGCAUUUCAUUGUUCAGGAUUCCCUAUAAAGAAGCUAGAGUAGGUUGAUGCUCGUAAUGAUCAUAGAAAAACUCGUUCCUUUAAAACAGCAUAGACUUUGUCACCUGUCCUAAAGAAGCGGAAACAUCCUAACAAUUCUUCUUCUUACUCAUUGGUUGUGACUCCUCAGCCACAACUGCUGAUUAAGGACAUCCAUUAUAAACCCCUCUUCGAAUAAGCACGUUGCUGUUCUGGCGCCACCAACUUUUAUUGUAUUUGCCUCUAUAUCCAUAGCAAAUAAGCCGCUUACUUCACCUCUUAUCCAUUUACCUGCGGUGUUGCCCCAAUUGUCGAAGUCAGAACCUAUUGUCCUCAUUUGGUUCUUCCACCAAGUUUUAUGUUCGUGCCAUACGAAAUUGAUGUGCCUUCCAUUUCCUCAACGUCCACUUUCGUCCAUCCGCUGCAAGUGCCUAUAUAUGAACCUUCCUGCCAUAAUGGUCCUCCAUUGAUUUCCCCAUCGAGGUCCAAGGGAACAUCUCGUCCUCCCUUUAUGAUCAAACCUUUGGCUGAUCGAGUUGCUUUUGCUUCUGAUGUCAGUGGUCUUCAAAACACAUAUGAUGCUCGGGUGCUGCAUGGGGCUACGAUUGCCACUACCGAUUUCAAGGGAGCCUACACUUCUCUUAAAUGUGACAUAAUGCAGUACUAUAGGAGUCAUUAUGAGAUACCCGAAUUUCUCUCCUCCAUUUCUUUUUGUUGAUAUGUUUCCCUCGUAUUAGGUUAAUGUGUGGACGAAUCUAGGAACUUAAACGGAUUACAGAUAUAGGCAAAACGAUGAUUGCUAUCCCAAUCAUAAGAACUUAAGAACUCGUAUACCAUGUAGCAAGCCUCGAAUACCACUCAUGAUGUAGAGAUAAUUCGGGAGAUUGAUCUAGCUACUGUUAUAGAGGUAAAGGCCAAAGAUUACAAGGAAAGUUUUGAGAAGGUUAGAGACGAGCUGAGGUUAGAGAAGCAAGCCAAGACGAAGGUGGACUAGGCUCUUGUUGUCUUAAAAGGAGAGUCGGAGCGUGUGUUAGCUUUAAAACAAAAUGUUUGGGCUAAAGAGCAGGAAGCUCUUCAAAAAAAGAGGUCGAGCAUCUAUGCUAAGAGGUCGAUCACAACGAUAACAAGCCCAUCGCGUACCUUUAGCAGCUUACUAACAGGUAUUCCUCUUAGACGUAUGUAUUCCAGGAAGAUCAUAAGAGGUUACUUGAAGAGGAGUUUGACGUCAGAUUCCUUACCGAUUACGCCCAACAAGAUCACCCUAAAGGUUGGAGCGUCUUCAGAAUUUAUGAGUAGAUCAAACACAUGGACUUUCCUCCUCCGCAUCAUUUGUUAGAUGAGAUGUCAGAUUUAGAGGCGGAGCAAAAUGAAUGUGAUCUUAAAGGUAAUCCGACACCUGAUGCCCUUGGUGAAUCUUCUACUCCAUUCAAGGGAAACGAUGUCCUGAAAAAGGAUUAAUUUGCACUUGCUCCUGGGUAGGAAAGGAGACUGUCCCUUUUGCAAACUUUUUGUCGUAAUACAAAGCUUUUUCUUUCAUUUCUUUCUCUACUCGGGGAAGAAAUCUUAAUCCUAUAAAUUUCUCUAAAGUAAACGAACUUUAUUUGAGAAAUAAGUGGCGGAGCGGGUACGAGUAAGUUUGUAGGUUCGGGACAAAGCUCAUCAACUCCCCUUGGAAACAUUGAUUCAGGGGAAUGUUGCCUCCUAAGAUUUGUAUUCAUAAAGUAUUCUCAUCAUGAUAUCUAGAAUACCACCUUAUUAUGGUAUUAGGAAUUAGACAUUAAACCCAUGAGAAAACUCUUGCUCUUACACUUAUUAAAAUACAUUCAUCAGGUAUAAGAGGUCCAAAUCAUGCCUGAUAACAUCUUAGAAGUAGAGGUCGAUUACCUCAAAACUUGCAAUGUGGUGCCAGAAUGAGUUUUCCCUGGUCCGAAUUGCGUGUUCAUUUCUAGUGAAUCUUACGCAAAAGUUCUUUGGAUACAUGGUCAUCAACAUGUGAGUCAAAAAUGCUUUUAGAAUCCUUUUGUUAGACCCUAUGUGUCGGACUUGAGCGUUUAUAAUCGGACUACUUUGGUUGGCUUGACCAAAGCAUUUUCGCUUACUGAAGCUCCAUUGGAAUAAAAUUCCUCUUUGGGAUUGCCUAGUUUGAAUGCCCUCUUCGAACCUGCUAACACUUGGUGUUGUAGAGCUUACUUGACUUAGUAAAUUAGUCUGGGAUAGAAGUAGUCGUACUCGGGGUCAGAUUUUAGAGCCACCCUCAGAUAAGUUCCAGAUCGCCCUUUUGACUAUUCCCUCGAAUGUGUAGAGCCCAGGUUUGGAAUGUUAUAACCCACAACCUUGCUGGUUACAUAAACUUUCUAGAGACUGGAUGGUGCAUUGGACUUCCAGGUCAAGGCGCAAUGUUCCUGUACCCAUAGCCCACCAGUCGUUACAACACUUAUUACUGUUCGAGUCUAACAAGCUGCUAGCCGUUCCAGACGGAUAAGGCUAAAGAAGGCUCUUAUGAUAGUGUAAUUUUGAAUGUUUUUAGACUUGUAUUCGUGUAAAGUUUUCAAAGUUUGGGGCCUAUUUUUUAACGAGUGGGGUACUCCCUACAUCAUCGAAAAAAUAAAGAAAAGAAUACGUAUUUAAGACAAACAGAUGCUCGUUAUUCAUGAUCGAAGUAAAAUUGAUUGACAAGAGGGUGUGAUUGAAUCUGAGAAGGAUUGCCUACAUAUUUAUGAGAUGGAGAAUCAAAUUACUGAUAUAGUUCUAAAGAAAAUAUGAUAUAUGUAAAAAUUUACAUGAAAGAUCACUUUUGACGAUAAGCCUAUAGGGAGGCGUUGGGGGAUGAUUUCUCAAUGGACUUAUCUUCACACAGAUGGGGGCGUUACCGAACUGCCUACAUAUCUCAGGAAGGGAAUCAAACCGUGUGUAUUUCAUGUGAGAUUUACUUUGUUUUAGGUCACUUGGAGAGGCUUGCAAGGGUUUUAAUUUUCUUUCUUCAACAAGGAUUUCAUCCAUCGGCACAAGUCCUCUGGUUUCUAUGUCAUUGAACCUUUUGCUGCUUGGCAUCAAUUCGGAGUAGUGAGGUGGGAUUCUAUCUUUAAAGGGGACUUUUGCCAUGGCGUAUAACCAUUCUCGGCCAAAGAAAGCGUUGUAUAGAGACAAAUUAUCCAUCACUUGGAAAGUCAUCAGAUGUUCAGAUGGUUUUGCUUGAACCAUGAAAUGUAUUGUCCCUAUGGUGUUAAGCGGGGUUCCAUUAAGGGUUUGGACAUUGGAUCUUCAUGAGUUGACUUCAUCUAGGAUGUUAAUUGAUAGGGAUUUUUACCAUCUACAAAAGUAGAGAUAAAAACACUUAAAAAUACUUGCAAGAGUACAAGGUUGUCGUAGUAUAGUGGUUUAGGCAAGGUCGUUUUCCACCGAGAUUGAAUGAAUAAUUUGUGUUUAAAACCAACACUUAAUUAAUUAUUUAAAACAAAGUUUGGAAAAUGUUGAUUUUAGAAUUUAAUAUAAUAAAAACGAAUUUUAAAAUAAAACAAUUAAAGAAAUUAACUAGAGAACAAUUUAAAGAAAAACAAUUUGUAAAAGCCUAGGGUUCCGCCGUCCCCUUAACAAUCCUACGCAAUUUUACUAAUUACUUAUGAAUUUCCACAUAUAUACUUUGAAGGUUAGGUUUUCCUAAUGCAUAUUUUCCUUGUGUGUUUAAGCGAAAACGUAUAUCUAACAUGCAACCCGUCUGUGAUGUUCAGAUCAAAUAUAAACAUGCAAGACUCAUUAAGCUUUAUGAAAACCCUUUGAAAAACCAUGCAACCCUUAAGAGCGUGAUAUUCACCUUAAGUGAACUUACAAUUACUAAUCACAAGAAGCCCUCCUCAAUUUCAGGGUGAUGUUCCAACAGAAAUUGCAUCAAAUUACUUGUCUAAAAACCCUAAUGGUUGCGAAUCACUAAGACAAUUAGAUAGUUUGAUCGCAGUGAUUAAUAAUUCAAAGUAAGCAUGCAUCCAUUCAUAAGCAAAUUAAUAAAAUCACAUAUUCAUGCUAAGGCUUGUGGCAUCGCCCUAGCAAAAGAACUUAGUUACGAACAAUCAUGAAACAAAAUAUUAUUGAGAAUAAGGAUAGAAAACGCCUAGAAAAUAAACUUGAAAAACUCUCUAAAGUGUGCGUGCGUUCUCUCCUCUCCUUCCCUUCUAACCCUAAUGGCUAAAAGGUCUUAUUUAUACUACUACAAAAUAAAACCUAAAAAGUCUUAGAAUAAAACUAGGAAACAUAAUAAAAUAAUAAAACAUAAAAUAAAAGGUUUCCUAUUUGAACUAAAAUUCGGAUUUCUUAGAAAAUCAGACUUUUGACCGACCAAAUUAACUCUGAUUUGUCCCAAAAAGUCUCUUUUGAAAGAUGGAGACGUCCCCUACAAAUCCUCAGAAGAAAUCUUCCUCAAAAUAUUCCAUCUUGACCUUCAAAAUGCCCAAAACGUCCAGAAAGGUCAGUCUGGAAAAGCUGCGCGCUGGGCCUUUAUUUCAUAACCACGGUCAAACGGCUUAGUAGAAAAAUAUAGAAUUUUGACACAAUCAUCUUGAAAGACUCACGAACAUCCUCCAAUUAGAAUUACUCUAAAAUUAAUCUGUUUGAUCACUUUUUUGCUCCAGAGGAAAUUGAAUGUCCAACUUUAGAAAUAUAGUUCAAAGUAUCAAAAUUCUACCAAAAUAACUAGGGUAAAUUACAUAGUAGCCCCUCAGGUUUGAGGUCUAUUACAACCCCAUACAACAACUUUAAAACAUUUCACUUUCAUACAUCCAUUGCCAUUUUAUUUCAAAAUAACACCUCUGUUAGAUUUUCCAUCUAUUAGUCUGUUAAAUGCUGACGUGGCUACCACAUUUAUGCUGAUGUGGCUGCCACGUGGAAAAAAUAUUUUUUAUACAUUAAAAAUAUUAUAAUAUUAACCCAAUUAAAAUAUUAAAAAAAACAUAAAAACCCUAACCUAGAUCCCCUUUCUCCCCCCUCUCUUUUAUGCAAUCCCUUCCCACUAUCCCUCACCCACCCCCCAGCGACCUCUCCCCAAGCGACCCACAUCCCUAUCCCUAACCUAGAACCCAAAAACCUGCAACAAGAAGAAGAAAAAGAAGAAGAUGAGGGAGGAAAAAAAAAACCCCCAGUUUGUCCCCUCUUCAAAACCUGCAAGAAGAAGAAGACGAAGAAGAGGGAGAAAAAAAAGAGAAAAAAAAGAAAAAAAAAAGCCCAGUUCGCGGGAAGGUCGCCGAAAGGUCGCGCGAGGGGGGGGGAAGGGAAGUCGGUCGCGGGUCGCGGCAGAGCGGGGGGAAGGGAGAUGGGUCGUGGGUCAUGGCAGGGCCGGGGGGGUUUUCUUUUUUUUUUCUUCUUCCUCCCUCUUCUUCUUCUUCUUUUUGUUGUUGCAGGUAUGUGGGUCGCUUAAAGGGGGUGAAGUCUUUGGGGGUGGGGUUCGGGGUGGGUAAGGGAUAGUGGGAAGGGAUUGCAGAGAGGAGAGGGGGAAGAAAGGGGAUCUGGGUUCAGAGGGUGUGUAGAGAAGGAAAGAAGGUGGGUGCGGAGGAAGAGAGGGUUGCGGGUUAGGGGGGUGCACAGGGAGGGUCGACGUUUGGGGGGGGGGGCGGGGGUGUUCUGGGUUUCUGGUUUUGGGGUGGGGGGUUAUCAUUUUUGGGUUUUAGGGAACAAGAUGAAGAUGGGGGAUAUAGGUUUGGGGGUUGCUGGGAGAAGAGAGGAUUUUGGGAGUUGCAAAAGGGUGGGGGUGGGGGAGGGGGGAAGGAAGGGAUAUGGAAUUCGGGAUUUUCUAGUUUUUUUUGUUUUUUUAAUUGGGUUAAUAUUAUAAUAUUUUUAAUGUAUAAAAAAUAUUUUUUUCUACGUGGCAGCCACAUCAGCACAAAUGUGGUAGCCACGUCAACAUUUAACAGACUAAUGGAUGAAAAAUCUAACGGAGGUGUUAUUUUGAAAUAAAAUGGCACUGGAUGUAUGAAAGUGAAAUGUUUUAAAGUUGUUCUAUGGGGUUGUAAUUUACCCUCAAAUCUGAGGGGUUACUAUGUAAUUUACCCAAAUAACUAAUAUAUUAAUACUAAGAUAAGGGUAAAAUAUAUGGUAAUAUGGACUUAUCACUAAUCCUUAUAGCUACCUCCUGAAGAGGAUAUUGACUUCCGAUCCGUUAUCGAUUAGGACUCUGCCGACCAUAGUGUCUUUGAUUUACAACUUGACUGCAAGAGUGCCAUUGGAUGGUGGGUAAACAAUUUAUGGCCUGGUUAAGGGAUCUUUCAUCCAAGGUUUUCCUUGGGUCAUUUUCCUUCCCUUCUGCGCUUUCUUGAAAUACUAUUGUCUUCUCCUUAUGUGAUUGAUGCCUGGAUGGACUUCAUGCCUAGGUGUUAGGGAGGCAGUGGUUAGGGAAUUUCCCGCAGUCUUGUAAAUUACACUACUAGGAGGGCUUCCUAGAUCAACUAUUGUGAAUUUGUCGUUCCUGGGGGAGCUCGAAUAGUAGAAUUUUCAAAUCGGGUGAAGGUACCUUCUACAGUUUUCAUUCUUUCAUUCAGCCUAGCGAGCUUCACCCUUUCUCCUACUUGUAGGUUCUUCUUGAGCACUUUUAUUGACAUGUGUACCUUCAGGACGUUAUCCCAGACCUGGUCGAUGAAAGAGGCUUCUUCUCUAUUCGGGUAUACGGUUUGACCAAACAGCAAUUUUCUGGACGUGGUAUCCGUGGAGCAAAGUGGUCUGGUCGAGAGGAAUAUGGGUUUUCUUUUAAUGAAAGCACCAAUUGUUGAAACCAAAUCUACGCACCUCCGUGAGCGGCGGUUGGGCACAAAUCCGAGUAAACCUGAACAACCUACAAAAGGCUCUUCGAUAGUCAAGCAGUAGGCAAGAGAAUUCAAAUGUAUAGGUUACGUUACUGUAGAUGAACCCUAAACGGGUGUAUUUAUACUAUGAGAGAGAGACAUUUUUAGGAUAGAUCCUCAUUUUAAGCCGGGAGAAUCAUAGAGGAUAUUAGUGAGUAGAUAUUGCAUCUUCUUAGGAGUUGUGAUCACUUGCGGAGCAUGCCUAUCCCUAAAUUGUAGGGACUCCAAGACUUAUAGGAUCUGAUUGUGUCCAUAUCCAGAUCACAUCACAUGUCUUGCAAAACAAGUAUGGUCAUAUGGUGGAGUCACUAGGACUCUGCCUAGGGCCCCAUAGUAGAGUGAUGGUGGCACCCUUCUCCAUUUGAUACAGCUUCACCCGGAGUUGGUAGUGAGUCCAUGAUUGAACUCUUGAGAUAACGGUAUUCGGUUUAGCCUUACUCCGAUCCUGAAAAAUCAUGGUCCCACAUGAGCAGACAAACAUAUUUAGGUGAUUCUGUAAAUGAAUAAUUCCAUCGUGUAUUACGGUGCUCCUACAGAAAAUGGUCCCAAAUUUCUAUCACUUCCAUUCAUUUAUCAGCAAUAGCCCAAACGCCAAACCUCAUUUUUUAAAAGUCACCUGGUAUUAAGCUAAAUAAGUCAAUUAAUUAAGUAUGUAAUUGAGUAAUUAACUAAUGGUGGUGAGAUGAUGAGAAAUGGAAAGUACAAGAGUAUCCUGCACAGAACCACCGUAAACAAGGACAAGACAAGAAUGUCAUGACUAGUGUUAUUGGAGCCGCCAGCAGGUCCUCAUUUACAGCUUGUGAACGCCGACAAUCCACCAGAGUAUAAGACCAAGAAGUAUGGCUACCAUGUUUACUGUAAGAUCAACAAGCAUCCCCAGUAAAUAAAAGAAAAACUAACGAAAAGUUAAAAAAAGACUUUAGUUUUAAUGAAAAAUGACAAAUAAAGGUGUAAUGAAUAGUAUCAGGGAAAAGUAAAAAUGUGAUUUUUCGUUAAAAGUGAACAAUACCAGGAGUAUUUGUUAAAACUCCCCAUAAAUAAAUACUAUGAAGUGGGUGGUUUUUGUUUUUUUUAUUUUUAUUUCCUUAUUUUGUGUUGGUGAAAUUGUGGGUGGUGAGUACCAUAUUUGUAUGAAAUAAUAAUUUGAAGUCAAGGUGAUGAGCAAAAUCUUACUCGAUUGUAUAUUAUUAUGGAAGUUGAGAUUUGUUGUCGGAUUCGACAUUCUUCUUAUCCCUCUAACUCACAACAAGUCUGAUCAAAUUCUCAUUUGGUGUCCAAGAUAAAUUUGAAUGAAUAGCCCACAAUAUUUAUUGUAUGUUGAACAAACAAAUGAAAAUUUUGUAUCCAAUUUAAAGUAAAAGAUGAAUUACUCAUACAGAAAACUUGUACAUUCAAAUUUCCUCCAAAAUGACAAGAUUCUUUGGGACACUUUGGAUGCGAUCCCUAGCUAUCAAUAUUCUUUGAUUGAAACCUUGUUAGUUUUUAGUUUUUGAUUGAGGUCCCUGAUAUUAAUGUAAUAAUGUAAGUUACUAUAUUUUUUUAAUUAAAAAUUAAAAAUUGAAAUUUGUAAUUGUUUAUAUUAAUGAGAUUUUAAAUAAAACCCAUAAUUUAUGGGAUUAAAAAUAAUAAAAUAUAAAUUAUUCUCUCUAUUAUAUUGUGUGUGUGUGUGUGUGUAUAUACAUAUAUGUAUGGGUACAUUAACCAAAAUUAACAAAAAAAGUUAUUGUACCAAAACAUGGAUACAUUCUCAAAUCAACGAAAAAGAAUGUACCCAUAUAAGUUUAAACAUGGAUUAAAAAAUUUGAAUGGAUUUUAUAUUAAAAAAGGGUACAUUUUACAUAUAACAAAUUGAUAUAUUUGAGAAUGGGUACAUUUAAGAUUAAAAAAAUUGAAAAAUUAUAUGAAUGGGUACAUUUAAGAUUAAAAAAUUGAGAAUCUUUUUAUAUAUAAAAAAAACUAAUAGGUACAAACUUAAUUUAAUUUAAUUUUUUAUUAUUUUGGAAAUGUUUGAAUUGAAAAUUAAUUAGAAGUUUAAUAGAGGUGUGAGUAUUAAACCCUAAAUUAAUUACUAAUUUUUAUAUUAAAAAAAUUAUAUAAUAAACAUGUAAAUUCAUUAUCACAUUAAUGCUAGGGACUUGAAUCAAAAUUAAGAACUAAUAAGGUGUUAGUCAAUGAACAGUAAAAACUAGGGACUGGAUACUAAUUUUUCCUUAAAAAUAUAACUUUCAUUCAUAUCUACUCAAAAUGAAGAAAACCAUUUACCUCUACAUUCAUCUUUAUGUACUUGGAAUUUUACGAGUUAUCUAUUACAAUCCUAGAAAUCAAAUGACCUUAAGAAACAAAGAAUCAGAAUAUUUAAACUUAGGACAUUGGAUACAAAAGUGUAUAUUCUUAAUCACUACAGUUCAUUUCUUAAACUUUUAUAGUUUAGAAUGCAUAAUCUAUAAAAGCUUUAUUUACAGAAGAAAAGAAAGAAAAUGAGGAGACACGAUUGAUUUGUACAAAAAUAAUAUUGUACAGGCAAAGUCACAUCCCAGAACCAAUUUUGGGAGAGGUUUUGUUUGUUUGCAAGUAAAACAAGUAGAUGUUUUUAACCUUUUACCCUCCAAAACAAGUUCAAGAACGUUCUACUAGUUAGAACAAUAAUAGUAGGGUGGAAUGCUGAUUUAAUCUCUGAAUUAUUACCUCAGUGAAAAUUAGGUCCCUGAAUUAUUUUUCGGUAAAAUAAGUCCCUAAAUUCAUUAAAAAUUGCUAAUUUCAUCCAUACUACUAUAUUAAAAGCUAGUUUAUCACUUUUUUGUCAACUUAAGUCACUUGACACAUUUUAAAGUAAAAUACCAACAUUUUCUCACGUAUAAGCCAUUAACAUUUCAUACAGGUUACCAAUCUAAGGUCUAAUUUUUACCCUCCAAAGUUAACUUCAUAUACUAUUUCUUUAUGUAAAAUUACUAAUCUACUCUCUAAUGUGUAUCAUAUGCAAGUACCUUGACUUAAGUUGACGGAAAAUUGAAUAUAAUAGCUUUGAAUAUAAUAUUAAGGAUGUAAUUGGCAGAUUUUUAAAAUUCAAUGAUUGAUUUUCCUCAAAAAAAUAAAAAUAUUAAAGACCUAACUUUUACUCAGGUGAUAAAUUAUUCAGGAACUAAAUUGGCAGUUCACUCAUAGUAAUAAUGACAGACCCCGAC
rnacentral:lncRNA from 1 species